rnacentral:lncRNA from 1 species
UCUCCUUCUCUUCUUCUCCUCUUCCCUUUUCCUCCCCAACGCCACACACCUCCUCGCUGCAGCCUUGCCGCAGCUAUCCUCCUAUCUUCUUCUUCUUCUUCUUCCCUUCUCCUCCCCAACGCCCCACACAUCCUCUCCUCUGUUUCCACCUGCGGGAAACAGAGGUGCAGCAGCCCUAGCUGCUGCUGCUGCCUCUCCCUCUCCUCUCCAUCUUCCCUCUCUUCUUCUUCUUCUUCUUCUUCUUUUCUUCUCUUCUCCCUCUUCCUCCUCUCUUCUUUUCCCUCUUCUUCUUCUUUCUUCUCUCCUCACGCCCCACCGCUCGAAGAAACAGAGAGUGCGUGGGAGGCGGUGGGAUAAAACCGAAAUUUUCGGUUUUCUUUAUUUUCUUUUCAUUUUGCAACUUAGCAGUUUAGUCCUUGAAAUUUUCAUAUUUACAUAUAGGUCCCCCGAUUUAUAAAUAAAUCUUUAUUAAUAAUUUUCAAAAACGAGGGAUAUUACACGAUGUGUUAUUUGCAUACAAAUUGAGAUCGAAAGAGGUUUUUUGUUUCGAUCGCUUCAAUAUCUAGAUUAAUAACCCGAGAUAUAUGAGUAUAGAUGCGAGUGGUCAAAAAAGUGAUAUUCAUCUUUUAUACUUAGUCAUAAAUAAACAGAAUAUUCUAUGAGGAGGCAGUCUCUAACUGCUUCCAACGAUCUCUCAUUAGUCUCUUAUCUACAUGGGUGAUAAGGGAGAGAUAACCCAUAUGCCUUGUGUUACUAACUUGAACAUCAGAAGGAUCGGAUCGAGAAACCUCUCUCAAUCUCAGUUUGAGUAUAGGUGAUAUUUGAGAGCUCAACGUUUUGAUCUCAGUGUUAUCUCAAACAAUCUGUGUAUACGGGUUUGGAUCACAUUGGGUUGAUUAGGACAUCAAUGACUUCUUUUCCAUAAUACAAUGAGAGUCUAAGCGGAAAAAAACGUUUUGACUCGAGAGGUUGUUAUAAAAGUUAUUCUUGAAAAUAAAAAUUUUCGAAGAAUAUUCUCUCUCUCUCGGUUCAUGUUAGCUGACCGGGCUCUGCAUAUUGAAUCUUGAAAAUAUUGGCUGUUUGUACCAAAAUUCGAGAGGAAGAAAGGAAGAAACAGAGUUCAGCAUGCUCGGUGUUCUUGAAUUUGGUUGAUGAAUGUUCACAAGAGCUGUGAAAGAUGCAUAGAGCACAAACAAUUUCUGCAACUGGCUUCAUCCCAUGCUAUAUAAUCCAUCAUCAAAUUGUUCACCGAGAAACCAAGGAAUCCUUCUUGGAUGGAUCUCCAGUCUUGACUCUGGAAGGAAGGAGAUCCAAUGAACCAAGGCAGCAUGCAUUGCUUCCAAAGUUCCACAAGCUUUUCCCUCUUAUGAUGGCAACUGCUGCUCUCAACGUUUACCACUACGUAUGAUGGAUUCAAAUCAUCAGCUAUUCUCUCUUAAGAAUGAAGAGUUCAGAACAUGCCUUCUAAUUUUCAACCCUUCAAAUGUCUCAACUGGUCAAAAGCAUUGUAAACGAAGACAAAUUUGAGGAAAAUAGCGAUGCCGAUGCCGGUCUUCUCUGUGUGUCAUGCAGAUGCCAGCUUGGUCUCUGUGCGAGAGUUGUCAGAUCAUUUCAAGAUUCUUGUUGACACCAAACCUAACCAGAAGGAAGGAAAGAGUCAGUCAGACAUGGUGGUUGAAAGGAGCUUAGGAAGGGUAAUUCCACAUUGACUCUUACUCGAAGCUUGAAGUGGACUUUGUCUACAGUCAUUUUGACACGCCUAAAGCCGCGUUCGUUGCCUUCUCCAUCCUCUUCUUCCCCAAGAAAUCCAACACACGAUCGAUCUAUUCUUCGACCUCUCUCUGAUACGAUGAGAUACUGUACCAUCUUGACCGCCUUUCUCUGCCAAUGCUUCCUCCAAGCUUCUUCCUACGCUUCCUCCUGCUGCUUCUUCUUGUCGCCAUCUCUUCUCCAAGCAUUGCAGCUUCUCUGUCAACAGUAGCAAUCUCCCGUAUCUCGAACGUUGUAGUGGUUUGCGCCGUCGUUCGACCGAAUGCCAACAGAGGAUACGACCUGAGUUGCACCAGCCUGCCAACGGGGCACCGACGUAUUUACAGGUCGGGCCCCAUCUCCUCCUUUGCCAUCGCUGGUGGAGAUGGAUUCCUGUGCUUGCUCAGCCUGUCCACGGACGUCUCCACCAUGGUCUGGUGGGACUUGUAUCAGGAGUCCUACAACGGCUGGCCGCCGGACUACAGGAGGGUCUACAGCGGGCCGCCCUUAGCCGAUCUCUCCGCCGGAGACACGCAUGUUUGCGGCGUCCGAGGCGGCAGCCUCCCCCGUCCCACUUGCUGGCGCUGGAACCAGUUCACCUUUCCCGAGGGCGUGUACUUCUCUGAUAUCGCCGUCGGCGGCGACUUCGUUUGCGGGCUGCUGUUGAGCCGGGAGAUCGCAUGCUUUGGAAAUGACAUCGGUGUCGUGGGCCAGGAGCCGCCAGGGACUUAUUCCACUGUCGCCGCUGGCACCCGGCACGCCUGCGCGGUCACCGGGGACGGCAAGCUGGUGUGCUGGGGAGCGGGCAAGCCGGAGGUGGGAGUAAUUCCAAUCAGGAUCAGCUCGUUGGCACUGGGGGAGAACAAGACGUGCGCGCUCGGCAGCCAUGGAGGAGUAAUGUGCUGGGGAGAUAAUUCCAGUUUGCCGUCCAGCCUCGCCAACACCGAGUUCGUGGCGAUUCAUGCGAAGGGCAGUACGAUCUGUGGAAUUCUCAGGAUCAACUAUUCCUUGGCCUGUUGGGGAAGCGCCGUCUUCUGCCACAAACCGGUGGUCUUCGAGGGCGUGUUGCCUGGCACCUGUAUGCCGACGUCUAGUUGUCGCUGCGGUCCCCUGGAAGGCUCCGGCCAGUUGUGCGCCAAUGGCCGCGUCGUCUGCUCUCUCUGCGAGCUCGGGAGAGAAGCGAGUAGUCCGAGAGCACCUCUUCCUCCUCCACCUCCUCCGGCAUCUCCAAACGCAGCUGCGACUCCUCGUAGAAGGAAGACGGUUUUCGUGGUUAUCGGCUCCGUCGGGUUCGCCAUCGGGCUCGUGACAUUGAUCCUCUGUUUGCUCUACUUCGCUCGAUGCAACGGCCGCAUACAUGACUCCGGCGCGGCGAGGCGGCCGCUAGCUCCGGGCCUCCCGUCCGCGCUCGCGAGGCCGCACGGCUCGGGAGGCUUACACGCGCCUAUCGAAUGCCGAUUUAGCUCGUUGUUUUGCAGAGGACAUAGCGCCAUGGUGGAGGAGUUCCCGUUGUCGGUCCUCCUCGCCGCGACCGACAACUUCGCAGAGUCCCAAAAGGUCGGCUCCGGCAGCUUCGGGUCGGUCUACCGCGCCACCCUGGACGACGGCCGCGUCGUGGCCAUCAAGCGGGCCGAGACGUCGGCGUCGUCGUCGACCACGGCCCCGGGCCCCGCCGAGAACAAGCGCCCUGACAAGGAGUCGGCGUUCCUCUCCGAGCUCGCCCUCCUCUCCCGCGUGAACCACAAGAACCUGGUGCGCCUGCUGGGCUACUGCAACCAGGGGCCGGAGCGCGUGCUCGUGUACGAGUUCAUGGCCAACGGCUCGCUCCACGACCACCUCCACCGGCUACCGGGCGCGACCCUCGGGUCGUGGGGGGCGCGCCUCCGCGUCGCCCUCGACGCCGCACGCGGCCUCGAGUACCUCCACACCUACGCCGUCCCGCCCAUCAUCCACCGCGACAUCAAGUCCUCCAACAUCCUGCUCGACGAAACCUGGACGGCGAAGGUCUCCGACUUCGGCCUCUCCCUGAUGAGCCCGGUCGAAGACGAGCGCAGACCGGACUACCACCCUCCGGACCGGGCCGCUGGCACGGUCGGCUACAUGGACCCCGAGUACUACCGGCUGCAGCACCUCACCGCCAAGAGCGACGUCUACAGCUUCGGAGUCGUGCUGCUGGAGCUGCUGACGGGCUGCAGAGUGAUCCACCAGAACGAGGACAGCGGCACGCCGAGGAACGUGGUGGAGUUCGCCAUGCCGCACAUCGCGGCCGACGACGUCCACCGGGUACUCGACCCGAGGGUGCCAACGCCGAAGCCGAGCGAGAUCGAGGCGGUCACCUACGUCGGCUACCUGGCAAUCGACUGCGUGAGCCCGGAGGGGCGGGAGCGGCCGACCAUGACGGAGGUCGUCGACGGGCUCGAACGCUCGCUGGACGCUUGCGAGCCGCCGAGCGCGUCUCUGUCGCGGUCCACCACGGUCCGGUCCAUUUGAUCAAUUGAACCGGGUGGGGUUCUCCAUUGGUUCAAUAUAAUUUUCUUUUCUCUUGUAAUGCAACUAUUCAUUAAUUGAGGGAUGUGAACAGUUGGUUGAAUAAUAAUAAUAAUAAUUAUUAUUAAUUUUUUUCUCAAUUUGGAUCUCUAAUUAUUUUGAUUUUUAUUUUUUUUUGUGGGAGAUGGUGUGGAUGUGACAUUGGGUUAGUUGAGUUGUACCAACUUUUUCUUCUUAUUCUUUCCUGCAUUGGAAAUAAUGAAGACUAUAUAAAAGAUUGACACAAAGUAAUUAAUGUGUGUGCCUAACAGAAAGGAGGAGGAAGAAGAAGAGAAGAGGUGGUGCAAAACAAAUAAUUGACAGUAGAAGUCACAUGUCAGACAAUAGCUUCUUUGUCUGUCUUGACCAAGUUGAUGAUGUGAAGUUGGGCUGCAAAUUUAUGUAGGACAAAUUGCAAUCUUUUAGUAGGUUGAGUUUCCAAUUAUGUAUUCUUUUUUGCAAUCAUUUGGUGCAUGAAUACAAUAAUAAUUAAUAUACAUGUGUUCUGUGUCAUAUUCUUCUUCUUCUUCUUCAAGGAGUAAAAUACUUCACCUAAUUACCAAAACUAUUAAAUAAGCUCUUGAUUUGGAUUGCACCACAUGAGAGUGAGGUGUUACCUCCUAAACCAUGAUUAUUUAUCAUCCUAAUGUCAAAAAAUAAAAAAAUGUCAUUGUAAAUAAAACAAAAACAAAAUACAAAAUUAUAAUAUUAACUUCUGUUAGCUUAUGCUAAUAAGCAUAAAAGAUGUAUUAUGAUCUGCCUGCUCUUAUGAGUUUUUAAAAUUAUUGUUUUGAUUAAUUGUAUAUAUUCUAAAGAAACUCUCUUCCUUCCAUUAUACUAAUUAUUGUGGCAUCCAUCCACAAUUAUAUAAUGCCUUCCAUCAUCCAUGUCAAGGGUUUCAGACAUUUCCUCUUCCUUUCCAAUCUGUGAAGAGUCCUGGCACAGCAAGGAAAGAAAAAUUGAUGCAUGGUGUUUACAAAUCAAAGUUAGAGUUUGUGAAUGCAUGGAAUGUCAAAGGACAACUUCCAUCACACCUAAACAUGUAAUUAAGCAGCAGCAGCAGGUGGGAGAAGUGUAGUACAGUUCUCUAGAACCUACAGUGAAGAAGAAGAAGAUGGUGGUACACUUGAAGUACAGCAAUCUCAUUCUGCCAAUGAGUUCCUUUAAGAUCUGAUCAUGAUCAUGAUCAUGAUAUGGUUUGGUUUGUGUGCUCUUAAGGUACUUUAAUCCUUGUAUUUUAGAAGUAUGUCAGAUGAUUAGUAGUUUUUGGAAGAGAAUUAUUGAGUUUGAAUGGCAGUGAACAAGAGGGGGAAAGAAAAAUAAAGAAUCCUUCUUGGCCAACACCUGCCACACUUGCUUAUCUUCUUAUGUUAGGUCUUUAGACUUUCUACUAGGUUUUUGACUUGUUACAAGUGCAUUAUAUUUAUUUAUUUUUUGUUAUUGUAGUUAGCUUUGUUGAAUUGUUUAAAGAAUAUCUUAAUGUCAUCCCUGACAAGAACAAUGAUAUGACAUUGAUGAACUGAAUUGAUUCUUACCAUGUUGGCUUCAGAAAUACUACAUUAAUAGUAUAGGCAGAGUAAUUCAAGGUGUGCAAUUGAGUCAUGUAAACAUAAUUCAAGUGUAUGCUCAAUUGAAUUUUAGAAUGGUCAAGUAAAAGCAACAAGCUUACAUCACAGUCUCUUCCUUGAACUGUUGGAAGUAGUGGAAUGUGCACCACAUCCAAGCUGUGUGGAUAAAAGUAUCUGAAGGAAGAUAAGAAGGGGGAGACCAGUGGCCAAAACUUGUGGCUCCUGCUGUUGAUAACAAUAAAUAUCAUACUCCCUAAUCAAUUGUCGAAAUAGGAAAGACAGCAAAAAAAAGUUGGAGGCAGACAUAAUAAGUCAUGGAGAUAGCCACAGUACCCUCCCUGAGAAGUCAUCCACAACCAUGUCCUCACCCAUGGCAAACAAGGGCAAAGAGGAGUGGAGUCUCUGCAUCAAAAUAUGGGGCUGUGUCUGUCAAACCUGUAUGUAUGCUUCCUUUUUCUCAAAGAGCAAAAAGUAUGUAUUUAAUUUUAUCUUCAUUUCAAAGAAGAAAAAAAAAUCACUCUGAUUAGUACUGAAUGAUGUCAAAAUCUGUAAACAAGUUCAACCUUGUGCAUGAAGAACAAUUGGAUAAUUUUUUGAUAAUUUGUGGCCUAUGAUGCAGAACAUAGGAUAAUUUUCUACAAACUAAAAUCAAAUAAAUAUUUUUUUAUGUAAUAUCAAUUGGAUAAACUGAUUUCUUUUAGGUAUCGAAAGGAUGUCAAAAAUGCGGUGGAAAAGGUGCAAUUGAAUGCCCUGGGUGUAAGGUCAGACUGCAAUCACUAACCUGUUUAAAGUGUAGAAAGAGAACACACAUCAUGUUUCAUGGUAGGAAAAGUAUAAUCUGCCUCACCAGCCAUGCUGUUUAUCUAUCAUGAUGCAAUCAUCCAUGCAGCUUUUGUGUUUCCAGACCAAAAUUAAAUGCUUUCAAGUUUUCUUUCUUCAGCAUGGUUUAAGGUAGAGAGAAAGGCAGAAACAAGACGUGAAGGAUCUGUAGAGGAAAAAAAAAAUCUGAACUCAUCCAGUGCCAUAUUGACUGCAGGGAACAGGAAAGAACAAGAAGAAUGGGAACAUCUUCGAGAGAUGGAAGUAAGUAAAUGACUCGAUUCAUUUUUGGAUCACCAUUUAAUCAUGGCCUACUGCUUCACCUGACUUCAAAUGUCUCAGGUGCUUUGACUGCCAAGGAUUUGGUCUCAAGAGCUGCCCCAGCUGCGGCAAAGGAGGACUCACACCAGAACAAAGAGGAGAAAGAUAAAGAGACAACUGCUUCUCUCUCUGCCCUCAAUGUGUUCGAGCAUCCAAAACCUCUUCUUUUGCCUCCACAUUGUAUCUUCCAAGUACAUGUCCUGAGUCUAUGUGAUGGGUUGCAUCCAACAACACCAUGGAAACCUCCAAAUGUGUAUAAUAGAUAGCCUCAGAAUGUGGAAGGACUUCAAAUUCACUUCUCAACUAGAUCUUCAGGUUCAUAUAAUUGCUAAAAAUAGUGUAAUGAUACAUGAUGACUAAGAGAGAGAAUCACCAUUGGCAUACAAAAACCUGCCUCCAAAUCUUUUUGCUGUCUUUCCUGGAGAUAGCCAGUCUCCUAGUGUUGCAAGAGACCUUCAAUAUAGUGUAAUGACAGGAUGACUAGAGAGAGAGAGUAUCACUAUUGGCAUACACAAACCUGUAAAGAGGAAGAAGUGAAAUAAGUGACAAAUUCACAUUGAUAUACACCACAUCUUUCCACGGUUAUGUACAUCAAAAUACGGAGAUUCUUCCUCACCACAUUUUGCGAUGUUCGAGUCACCAAAAGCCCAAAGAAGAUGGGUAAGGAACCAUUGGCAACAAUUUUGAAACUCAAGUCCUACACUAGAUGAAUUAUGAACAUCAUAAUUUGCAGGUCUUUCCCACAAAUCCAGAUUAGAAGUCUUUAUUCUAUUUCCUUAGAUACAAGACACUGACUAGUCCACUAAAUCUUCAUACCAGGACCCUAUACCAUGGGUCAUGAACACGGCCAGUGACGAUCGCCAUCAUAAUAAGCACGUUGCCCACAUUAACCACUUGGUCAGAGAGCAUCGUGGCCCCGACUCGCUUGAGCGCUGCAUCUGCCAGUUUCCUCCCCCGGGCCCCGCUCCCACCAAGUACGACUCCUCGUGCUGCCAAAUAGAUCGACCGUGAAACCUUUGCGAAGACAGCAUUAUCGUUUUGCAAACUUUUUGUAAGCAUUCCUGCCAUCAUCUCCUUUCUGCUCUGGAGCUUUGUUUCCGAAGAGGUAUUUGAGUAUGAGCUUGAUGAUCUCACCACCACCUCAAUAAUAUCUUCGACACCCACAUCAGGUGAACUUUUCAAGAGCUCUGAGAGCCCUUUAACAGUUUUUAAUAUUACAGCUUCCAACUCCGAAGACGCAACAGAUUUCUCACUGAGGAGAACUUGUCGAAGGACCAAAAUGCUGCAUACGAUGAUCAGUGCGAUAAAUAACAGAAGGAAAAUUUCUAACUUCAGACCAUUUUAUUUACUAAUACAAAGCAAAACUUCAAGGAAUAAGCAGCAAAACCGCACCUUGUUGCGAUGACAAUUAUCUUCUGGAAUUGACUCUGAACAGUUCUUAAUCUCAAAACAUUAAGUUUAAGAGUUUCGGGGAUGGUCUCAAUUGUCAAUCCCUCUAUCGCGCUUGCAAGUUUUAGCAAACCAAUCCUUACCAACUUGUCCACCAUUUCUCCAUUGCACUCUGGUAGUUCAUCAACACCUGCUAAGAAGAAAGAUCAAUGCCGAUUGUGCUGUUUAAAAUUGUGACCAAACAUAGUGCAGAUGUACAUCACUACUGAACUAGACCCACAACUACUUUGUCAGAAAUAUUGUAAGUCUCAUUUAUUAAAAAAAUCUACCUGAAGCAUUAAAAAGACCAUCAUGCUGUUUUGAUGAUGCUGAAAGGCCACCACCUGUUCGAACAGCAGUGACAGGAAGACCCUGGAUUAAGUAUGUCCAGCUACACUUUAGUAGAACAUUUAUGGUAACACGAUAUGAGCAAAGGCCAAUUUUAUAGAGAUAAAAGAGCUCACAUGAUUUGCCAAGAAAAUAGAACAGAGAUCAAUAUGCUCAUUCCAUUCCUCUUCCAAACUAUUGCUUAAUGGGGAUAACCAACGAAGAGUUGCUGGAAGAGAAUUAGCAGCUUCAAGAGGAGAUCCAUAGCUGUCAGUGAAUGCCUUCUGCAAAUACUCCAACCCUGCAGAUCCCUUGAUGAGUGGUUCCAUCAACUUUAUACGGGCUACACUGACUUCCUUUUUCAGUGUCUGUCAAAAGAACACUUAAUUCAAUUUUUUGAAAAGUAUGACAACAUUUAUAAGUGCACAAAUUCCAAAAACCAGGCUUUCCAGUGAGCACUAUCAUAAAGCAUCGGUUCAUGUCUUUGUUGCAUAAAGUCUAGAAGUUCAUCAGACAUCAAAGAUAAGGUUUCCUGUCUAACAAAAUAUAAAAACCCCAAAGAGCAUUAGGUAUAUUAUGUUGAAAUUAUAUAUAUAUACGUGUGUGUGUGUGUUGAAAUUAUUCAGAACAGGAUACCAGUCCAUAUUCUCAGAAUCCUCUCUAACGAAGAUAAGAAGGUUUUUUGACUCCAUUCAAAAUAAAUAUUCAUUAGCGUUGACAGUAGGAGAUUCAAAUGUCAUGUAAAUAUUAUGUUUAAAGAAAUUGACAAAUCUGAAGAGACUAAUGCAUCUAGAAAAGUUCAAGGAUGAUACAAUCAAUUAAAUUGAUAAAAUAUAAAAAUAUUUUUUUCAUUGAGAAUAUAGUAGUUGGUAACCACUAAAGUACUUCGCUGAAUGAUCCAAGAAUCUAACCUGUAUUUGUUCCAAAACAAAACGCAGACCCUUGAUCGAGGCAACAACAAAAGAGUUACUCUGUUUGUCACUGGAUCGAGCAAUAUCUGUCAAACUAUUCAACAUCUUCUGGUGGGCUUUUCUCAUGUCAUCUUCAUUUGCAGGAGAAGAGAGUUUCUGCAGCAUGACCAGCACAUUCUCUAGAAUAUUUCCAAAAUAAUCUAUAUCCUGAGAGCCUGAGUCAAGGACCUUUGACCAAAUAAGAAAAUUGUGAGCUUGAAGUUGGACAUCAAUACAAGGAUCAAAUAUUGUAGUGGACCAAUAAGUGUGACAUGUUAAAAGAGGGUAUAAAUGAAAACAAGUACCAACACAUUUAGUUUAACAUCUAAUUGAUUGAGGAUAUACCUGAGAUAGAAUGUCAAGGUCAAUACUAUUGAGAAUAUCUUGCUUCCAACUCUGUGGAGCCAAAUCACAUAACUCAUCUCGUACCUCCUUCACAAGGCCUAGUAUUCUACCAUAGUCAGGUCUGCCUGUCUUCAAAGAAUCCAAUAUUCCAUCCCAAAAUGCUUUCUCCAUUGUCUCUUUAAUCUGUAAGAAUGAAAAACCAUGAAACAGAAUCAAUUAAUGGCCCAACAAAAUAUAAUACAUCGGAGAUCAACCUCAGAGGACAGUAGAACAACUAUCUGCAAUAGAUUUAAUGACAUGAACCAAUAUAUUGGAAAGAAAUAAGAGAAAAAAGAAAAACCAAAUGAGUGCCACAUUAUGUGAAACAAAACCCACAGUGCACCACUGAUCAUUCUCAAAGAACUUAAUAGUUCAGAAGUUAAAUCUCUAUAUAAGUAUAUCAAAAAUAUUUUUACAAAUAUUGUCGUAUGUUAUGAGAUGGCUUACAUAAAACACAAACUAGUCACUUUCAUGUGUUAUGAGAUGGCUCGUAGAUAAAACUCAAAUCUUUUAAAUGUCAAAUUUUGGAGGAAGAUUACAAUUACCUUGAUACCAAUCUCUUCAGAUUUGAUAGUGUCAGGAUUACUAGAAAAUGAUCCAUGGCCCCAAUGCAUUAUUUCAUUCACAAGGAGUUCAUUCUCCGUGGGUGACGACUGUGUUCCCACUGUGCAACUGGAUUGAACAUCUACAUUUUGAACUUCUGUACCAACCCGGGGCUGCAUGGAAGAUGAAAUUCCAAACAGAGAACGAACCACACGAUUUGAUCUCCCUUUAAUCUCAACAUUGUGCUCAUGAGACACGGAAACCAAUUGUUUCCCCAGAGACUUAGAUGCUGAAGUUGAUGAAAUAUGAGCAAGAGGGGUUGCUAAAGGGCUUCCAUUCUCUUUUGCUUCAAAGAAUUUGAACCUUGUAUCUGAUAAAGCACUUUCCAUUCUUUCAAUACCAGCAUUGCCACUCAGGUGUCGUACUUUCUCCCUUAGAAGUUUCUGGUCUUCAAUAACCUAAAAUUGCCAAAACCAUACGUUGGAUAAUAAAUGCAAAGAUAAAUAAAUAAUUUCUGGUAAAUAUCCGACGAACCAAGUAUUCAAAAGAUCUUAUAAGUUCAAGGUGUCUGGAAAAACAAAAAAUUAAUGAGGAAACACCUGUAAUGACAGAGAAUAUCUGAUCAUUGCUGAAAAUAUAACGUGAUGGUCUAGUAAGAUUUCACAAUGUUGACUCAACCGUUACCACAUGAACUAAAAAGUUAAAAUAUGCCCUUGGAUUUGCAGUCAAUUCCUAUAAGAACACAAUCCUUACUCUAAAUACCCACCAGCUCUCUCAAAAGCAACACAUCUGACCUAUUUCCCUGUCCUAUUCAAUACUUCCUUUACAUCCUAAUCCUUUUCUUUGCCCCCUCAUCUGCUUGAAUCCAUUUAUUGACACCAUAUUUGCUUUACUCUCCUCCAUCCGGUCUCUCUCACCUGUAAUGACAGAGAAUAUCUGUCAUUGCUGAAAAUAUAACGUGAUGGUCUAGUAAGAUUUCACAAUGUUGACUCAACCGUUACCACAUGAACUAAAAAGUUAAAAUAUGCCCUUGGAUUUGCAGUCAAUUCCUAUAAGAACACAAUCCUUACUCUAAAUACACUCCAGCUCUCUCAAAAGCAACACAUCCGACCUAUUUCCCUGUCCUAUUCAAUACUUCCUUUACAUCCUAAUCCUUACUCUAAAUACACUCCAGCUCUCUCAAAAGCAACACAUCCGACCUAUUUCCCUGUCCUAUUCAAUACUUCCUUUACAUCCUAAUCCUUUUCUUUGCCCCCUCAUCUGCUUGAAUCCAUUUAUUGACACCAUACUUGCUUUACUCUCCUCCAUCCGGUCUCUCUCACCCUCUGUCAUUGUCAUUUGUCCCCCUGCCUCUCAUACAUGAUGAUGACUGCAAGGAAAUAAUAAUGAUAAAAGCUCCACACUAGUCAACCUUGUCACCAUGAGGAUCGUCAGAAAGGAGUAGAUAAAGAGUCGUUAAAAAAAUCUGUAAUUUUGCCAUCCAAAUUGUAAUUCAGAUAGUAAUGGUAAAAAUGAAAUAUUAACUUAGGACACCAUCACAAGUCACAACCAGCUCAUAUUAAUUUAAAUACCACAUUGAACAGCCAAUGAACAAAGACAAAAAAAAAAAAAACUAUUAUCAUAACCAGGCUGUCUGCUCUAAGAGAAAAAUAUGUUUCUAGAUAGUCAUAAAUCCAAUAACUGUAUGCAAAACCAUUCAAAAGAUUUGUUUAGCCUCGAGACCAAGUUCCCCAUCCCAAUAGGAGAUGUGUUGUUGAUUGUUUUGCCAAAACGACCCCUCAAAUUUAGGUAACUUCUACAUGUGGCCUAAGAUGACAAAAUAUUCAACAGUCAUUUCUAUAUAACCUUUUGAAAAUCCUUUCCUCAAAUUUGGGUGUCUUCUACAUGUCGCUUAAGAUGAUAAAAUUUUCAAGAGUCGUUUCUGGAUAACCUUCUGAAGGUCCUUUCCUGAAACCUCAGCUACAACUACUACAUUCAGAACUUGUACCAUGACCAAGACAGUCGAACACUAGAUAGCUCUGACAAGGUCACCAGUUGCUCAUACAUAAAUAUGUUAACUCCACAUAUAGGUAGAGAGCAUUCAAGGGAAAAGUAGCAAUUUAUUCAGAUAUAGAAGCACUUUGUAUUCACAUGAUUUGGAAACAUUGGUCAUAUAUGUGACAUGCAAGCCUAUCUGUUUAGCAAAGUAGUAAGUCUAAAAAAACUCAGACAAAAAAACCUGUUUUGGUAUUCAGAAACACUGAAUGCUGUCUCAUGCAAGUUCCAAGUAAAUUACUGUGUCCAAAACCAUGUAGCAGUAUUUAGAUCAAACACACCUGCUUUUGUAUAGCCCUCAUAUCAUGACUAAGAUCUAAUGGCUGUCCUUCUGCAGUCAUCUUGCAUGUCUGCAACAUUGACAAUUCUAACUGGCAAGCAGCUCUCACAAGAUCUUCCUCCAGAGAUCUAGCAUCUUUCACUUUCCAUACCACAAACCUGUACAGGUAAGAAUGCCAUGCUGAGUCAAAUGUUCUCAGCUGGCAUCUGAAACUUUGCUCCCGAGGCAAACUAUUAGAUGACUCUUUAUGAAGAUCCAAAGACACAUCUGAAAAUGAUUGACUUGAUAAGCGAGCACUUUUAGGACCACCUAAUAUCACCUUGAUUAACAACUCAAACUCCUGAAGAAAGCUUAUAGCGGACUCUCUCAAGGCAGUCUCACGCUCCCCUUGACCACUGAAAACAGCAUUUGGAUGGCCUAAUAUCAUGUAAGCACAGAGAACUACUCUAACUGGGUACCUAGACAUUGUUGUUUCAACACUCCUAGAUUCUCUGACGGCCCCUCUUUUUGUUCCACCUCUCUCUCCUGGUGUUCUGUUAGUUGGAACUUUUCUAUUUGGAGAAGCCAGAUGCUUAAGCAGAUGAUCAAUAUUCUCCACACCUGAUGGUCCAGAUGAUAGUAGAAGUGAAAAACGGCUCUCCAGCCGUUCCAGCAAGGCUUUCGUUGUCUUAAGUGAUGUGGUUGAUUCAAUCAGGAGAGCAACCUGUUCGAAUGGCAUACUUUUAAUAGACUCCUCAUUUAAUUCCAAAACCUGAAAAGCUUUAGCCAAAGCAAAAGUAGUCCUCCUCAAUCUCACAAACCGCCUCCAGCACCUAAACAUCCAAUUAACUAUGAGAAAUUUAAAGUUAAAAAUAAUUAGGACGUUAUCAACUAAUGCACAAAAAUCACCUUGCUAAUUUUCUUGAAAGAAAAUCUCCAUGCCUGAUUAAAUUGAGUCGUGCAGUACUACGUGGGCUACCUCUUUGUUUCAGAUACUCUGCCCUUUGUCGCUUUGCCUGAACAUCAGAGCAGUUUGUCAAAGUCUCAAGCAACCAAACCAUUUAACACUGGCAGACACUACAUAACUGCCUGUCAGGAGAGCCUACUAUAUGAUCUAAAAUGGUGUCUUGGUAUAAUCUCUGCCAAUAGAUAGUAAGUAUUUCACCAAAGCAACAUGUAUUUAAGGUAGAAUAUAAGACCAUAAUAUUUAUCAAACAGAACCUAGAACAGCAAGCACAUACCUUUUGAAGCCGACUUUCUAACUGCUCUUUCAUUCUUCUCCUUUCAGUUUCUCUUCGAUGGUACACAGUUUUGGCUAUCCUCCGUGCCUGCACUACUCUAGCAUGUGCUCUUUUCUUUUCUGCUUCUAACAAACCCAUCCUUUUUUUCUCAGCAGCAGCACGCUUCUGGAAGAUUGCAGAAAGUGCACAUUCUUUAUACUUGUUUUCUCGGAUAAUCCGUUGCAACAAAGAUCUUGUAGUUCUCUCCUGAAUGGCAGCCCUUCUCUGAAGAUGAGCCUUAAUAAGGCGCAUGCGGUUUGCCUCGGCCUGUUGUACACGAGAUUCAACUCUUGUGCCCAGUUCUUCACGUUCCCUCUCAAAACGCAUUCUUACCCCACUUUUAGCAGCUUGUCGUAACUCACCCAACCUAGCCAACCGCAUCUGUGACUUUGUCAAAAGGCUCAACCUAUUCAUUCAAGGGGAGAACACUUUUGAUAACAAAAUUAUGCAAUAUAUCCAACUGAAAUAGCCAAGCGAUCAGACUAACUGAAGCUUACCACAGUGUUGCAUGCAUAAAAUGGCCUUUCAAGACAUACCAAAAUGAAUAAGCUAGGUUAUCAUAUUGUCAGUGGGAGCAUGCCAAUAUAGUCAAAAACAACUUUAAGCCAUAUGGAACAAAUAAUAAUAAUAAUAAUAAUAAUAAUAAUAAUAAUAAUAAUAAUAAUAAUAAUAAUAAUAAUAAUAAUAAUAAUAAUAACUAGAAANNNNNNNNNNNNNNNNNNNNNNNNNNNNNNNNNNNNNNNNNNNNNNNNNNNNNNNNNNNNNNNNNNNNNNNNNNNNNNNNNNNNNNNNNNNNNNNNNNNNNNNNNNNNNNNNNNNNNNNNNNNNNNNNNNNNNNNNNNNNNNNNNNNNNNNNNNNNNNNNNNNNNNNNNNNNNNNNNNNNNNNNNNNNNNNNNNNNNNNNNNNNNNNNNNNNNNNNNNNNNNNNNNNNNNNNNNNNNNNNNNNNNNNNNNNNNNNNNNNNNNNNNNNNNNNNNNNNNNNNNNNNNNNNNNNNNNNNNNNNNNNNNNNNNNNNNNNNNNNNNNNNNNNNNNNNNNNNNNNNNNNNNNNNNNNNNNNNNNNNNNNNNNNNNNNNNNNNNNNNNNNNNNNNNNNNNNNNNNNNNNNNNNNNNNNNNNNNNNNNNNNNNNNNNNNNNNNNNNNNNNNNNNNNNNNNNNNNNNNNNNNNNNNNNAAUAAUAAUAAUAAUAAUAAUAAUAAUAAUAAUAAUAAUAAUAAUAAUAAUAAUAAUAAUAAUAAUAAUAAUAAUAAUAACUGAAACUAAAAAGAGAAUGGUUUCAGAUACUGGAAAUAGAACAUUAGACAUUCCUCAAAGCUAAAAGCCGAGUGAACUGUUACAGAAAAACUGCACGGUGAAGAAAUAUUACACAUGAUGGAGAAACCCAUAAUAAUAAACAAAGUUGAGACUACUGGGAAAAUUACCUCUUUUGUUCGGCUGCAAAAAGUUUUGCUUCAAGCCUUUGACCAGGAUCAUCCUCUCCUGAUGACCAUGAGGGGCUUCUUGGUUUUGGUCUUGCCUUGCUCGAUAACCAUUCAUGAAAUUGCUGCACCAAAAGGUUUUAUUUCAAAAUUAACAACCAUGAGAAAUAAGAACCCCCAAUCGAAAUCUACAUCUUCCUAAAAAGGAAAAUUAUUCGGUGAUGUGAAAGCAAAGAGGUGAAAUCAAAUAUCAAGCCUAAAAGAGAAGAGACCCUCCAUAUGAAAAGGUAAACGCAUAUGGAUUCAAUAGCAAAAGCUAGAAAGAUGGCAUCCAACAGAAACCAACAAUAAAACCACUAUUUAGAAUCUAUCUUAAUAAAAAUGGCAAUUUGGUCUAACAGUAAUAAGUUGUGCCAUUGAAUGGCUUAUAAUUAGAGAAUGACUGAAAAUACCAAAGUGACCGUUUGUUUCUCUGGAAGCAUAAACUAAAAGAAGAGACUAACCAUACAUCAUAAACAAAUACAUGAAGAUAUAGAACCAAAAAAAAAAGGGAAGCAAAAGAGGUUAUCAGGCAAAUCUGUGAACACGGACGAAAGGGAAAGAAAGUCAAUAAUUCAUCAAAAGGAAAUCCAAUGAAUAAAAUAGAAAAAAGGUAUAAAAGAUGCUUACAAUUUUGUGAAAAUGAAACAAAAAAAGGUUAUAUAUAAGUGACUCAAAGUACCAUAAAUUCAAAUUUUGGAAGGAGUUACACCAGCAACACAGUUCCCAAAGUAUUAACUAUAAGCAAAAUUGUGUAUGUGAUGAUAGAGACCAUCACGCGGAACAAAGGUGAAGUCCUCGGACAAAGCGGCAACAAGCCACACAAAAGAAGGUUAAACGAAAUUAAUCUUGACACAACAAUUUUUAUAAACAAUAUAACAACAGAAGAGAACCCUUUUUUGUAGGAAGAAAAACAGUGAUCGUGAAGAAGCAUUUGGAGUUAUUCAAACCCACAAAAGCAGAUGAAGCGAAUAUUAAAGAUGUGGGCAAACAAAUAUAAACCAAAUGGAAACACAUAACACAUUUGGAGAAAACACGCACAAAGCUAUCAGUAAAAACAUGAGAAGUAGGGUCCGAUUUAAACGAAGAUCCAAAACACAAAUGAAGGAGCUCCAUAAGAAUCGCAAAAUUUUGAGAACACAUGACAGUAAAAAAGUUGCCAAAUACGAAAAUGAAAACACAGCCAAGAUAGAAAAAGAAUCAAAAUUAUACACCAAGAAACGAACUGAAUCAAGAAACCGAGAAACUAUCAAAUAAAAGAAAAGAAAAGAAAAGGCUCGACUUAAACAAGCUAGGAGAAAAACCAAUGAACAACGUACCUACAAUCAAAACUCCCACAAGGAAAAGACCCCUAAAGAAACCCCACACCAAAAACCUGCAACCGAACUCACCAGAAAAGAAAAGGCGAAAAAAGUGAAACCCAAGAAAACACUCAAGAAGAGAUUCAAUCUUUUCUGUAAUGAUGACGUCAAGAUGCAGACACCUACCUUCUGAGAUCAUCUUGUCCGAGUUAAACCUCGACACAAAACUAAAUUUCAAGAGACAAAGACCUCCCACCUCGGAGAGAAAAUGAAAACUUCAAACUGUCUACAAUAAGCUAAAAUUCGACGCAAAAACGUGAUCAGAAUCGCCAAAAGAGGACCAGAGGCUCCAACUUCCUCCAAGAGACUACCUGUCUCCUGAGGUCGGCAUCUCUGAGUUUGGCCUCGAUCUCCUCCACGCUGGAGGGGCCGCUGCUCUUGCCCUCCAGGAGCCUCCGCCGUAUCCUCCUGGGGAUCCUCGCGCGGGAUGACGCCACCUCCGCGUCGGUGAAGUCGAGCGCCACCGCCGCGGGCCUCGCGACCUCCGGCGACUCCACCGUCCCCCGGGAAUCCAUCGGCCGACCAGGGUCGCUCCACAGAUCGUCCGCCUGGUGAUCGACCAAACAAAGGCUCCCCGGUCGAACAACAGCAAGAAUCGCAAGGAACCGAUCACGAUCAACCAAAAAGGUCGAGUUCGCCUCUUUCUUCGAUCUCGGAUCACUUUAUAAAGCGGUCGCUACGUAAUAUUUAUUUCCUGCACUCCAUUGCAUACCCUUCAGUCUAUCACGGGAAGCUGGACCCCACAUGGGAGCAUCAGACAGAUGCGUCGGUAACGCGGGUCGAAAAUGGUUUCGGUCCGUUACUUGAUCUCAGCGGCUUUUUCUUAACGGCGCCGUUAGGCAACGGCUGGCUUUCAAGGCUCAACCGACGCCCGUUCGCGGGCGCAUGGACGAAAAAGACCUCGGCAGCACACCUACCACCCCAAUUCUUUGGUGAGCAAUUAAGAAUAUGGAUUAAUAUUUAAUUACCAUAAAUGCAUUGCUGUGUAUUACUGACACCAAUCAUCCAAUCGUAAAUAAUAAUUUGGUACUGUUUUCUGAGAAUACAAUAAAAAGACUCUUAAAUGUGCGUGACGGGAGCAAACGGCGGUUUGCAGGGGUAGGAAGGUAAAAUCACUACUUCCGUCCGGUUCGUUUGCCGGGGGUCGGACGGUUGACGUGGCAUCCGAAGGAGACGAUACGAGUUAAUGCACGCCGGUUGGCAGAUGGCGGACGCCUCGCUCAAAUUACCAAAACACUCCUCCGCAAAAGGCAUAAGGUGGGCUGAGACUUCAGGGUCAGUUUGGUCAAAAACAAAAACCCAUAAAUGGCAGAAAUUGACUUAAAUUAACUUAAUGCUUACUUAACAUAAUACAAAUUAAUGAAAUUACAGAAAAUAACUGUAAAUAUGUGAUAAGAAAUAUAAUUUUAUUAUAAUUGACUCUGAUUUCUACUAUAAAUCAUGAUAAUUUCUAUUGAGAAGUGAGAGCAUAUUAAGAUCAUCUAAAUUCCAAAUAGUGUAAAAGUCAUGCAAGUGACACUAAAAAAUAAUAAUUAAAAAUAUACCAUAUUCUUCUGUAAAUAUGAUUGAUGUGUCUAAUUACAUUUAAUAUUUACCAAGAUGGAAUUCUUCCUUGGUUUAUCAAAUGUAUUAAAGUAUCUGAGUAUGAUGAUUCCACUUGGAUUCUUUGAAUGCCUUCCUCUGUGGAAUGAUUAAGGCCUUACAUGUAAGCAUGCAUCCAGAUAUAAAACAUAUAUGAUCAUGAUUUCUAAUGAUAACAAACCUAUUUAACUUGUGAAUGAUUCAUCUCAUUCAGCAUAGAGUAGUUCAUGCUAAAUUAUUGAGAGUCGAUGAGGAGGAUUAGCUUAGGUUCAGGAGAUGUUUAACAUUCUUCAAAUAAGAUUACUGUUUUAAUUAGGUUAUGAUCAGAAGACCUUUGUGUUCUAAGCUCAUUUUGUUUGCUGUAAUGGAGGGUUUUUCUUUUAAUUUUAACACUGGAAGUGUUUGAUUCUAUUAAUAUCAAUUUUGAUCGUAAACUCAAUAGGCUGAGUUUAAUCGUGUGAAUCUCGUCGAUACUCAUAAAUCUCGAGUUGGAUCGAUCGAUCGAUCGAAUUUAAAAAAAAAUCAUGAAUUAAAUUCUUCGGCUAGUUUGGUUCACUAAAUAUGCCCUUAAUUUUUAUUUAUUAUAAAAAAAAUUGAAUUUUUCAAAUAUAUUUAUUUAAAGAUAAAAGAGAUGAAAAUAUUAUUUUAUUUGUUAUUUUUUUUAUCCCUUUAAAAUCUCCCCUCUUAUCAAUCACUAUUUUUUUAUUUUUUAUACAAUAUUUUUUUUAUAAUAGUACCAAAAUAUUUUAUAUUUUUGUACAAUGAUUUGCUAAACAGAUAAGUUAGAUUAUGGCCCACCGACAAAAUAAAUGUGAGAGAAAUAUGAUAUGGAAUCCUGUCUCCCAUGGAUGACUUUGAUGGGGAUGUGCAGCUGAUGUCAAUUAAUAUGAGAGCUCUGAAGAAAAAGUUGUGGUUCUAAAACACCCACUUUUUCUACAAGAUUGCAAGAUUCCAAAUGGAUAAAAAGAUGUUGGGUCAUCCUAAAAUGCUUCCUUAUUAAGUGCUUUGCCAUUGCAAUUGACAUCCAAAACUGUAACUUGUGGAUGUUUGAGUGAUUACAUGUUUGUGGUUUAUGAAUACUGAGCAUUGCACCUGUUGUCUGCAUAACUCUUUAAUUCUAAGGAAGACACAAUUUUUCUUUUUUUUUUGGUUUUAUGCAAAGGAUAAGUUGGGAACAUGAGAUUUGAUCACAAGGUUUGAGUAUAAACCUCAAGUGCAUGAGUUUGGAUUUACACAGAUGAGAGUAUUAUGAAUACAUCCCACAAAAAUCAUAACAUUAUUGAUAGCUGCAAUUUGAGCUUAGUGAACAACCACAGGGCAUAUUUUACCAUACACAUUUCUAGCUACUACUGCAGCUAAUUAUCUAGCAAGGGAUCUGCCUGAGUUCAUUCCAUCAAAGCAAAGAACAUACCACCAGUUGUGUCUGUGGAGAGUUUCAGGUUUAAGUUGAUUGAAGUAAGCAAACUAAUCUAGGUUAUGGUUGGCAUCAAAAUAUGAUCAGAUACAUAAUAUUCAAGGUGUUGGCAACAAAUCUUGAAAUCUCCAUUAGUGACAGUGCUAAACUCAAAGACUUACACAGAGGUUGAAUUGAUGAUCUGAUCUUCGGUGUCGAACAGAUGCACAAACAUGAACAAGAUUGGUAGCAGAUGUCUUGAUGACAAUGCAGAUACAAGGAUGCGAAAGGGAAGGAUCGGUGCCUUCGAAAUCAUGAACCUUUCAUGGAACCAAUUAUCCAGACGUUGAACGAGUGAGCUUGGAGUGAAGAUGACAAUGACACAAAAGGGAUGAAACAAAGUGGUAGUCAUGAGAAUACAGAAAUGAAGGAACCAACAUGACAGUUCAAGAGCUACUAUCACCACCGACUGGUCGUAUGAGCUGAAGAUGACCGCCAGGUGCACAUAUCAAAACGAGGAAAAGGAAGCAGAUAUCAGACAGUUAUUGUUCCGGAGUUAUUUGCCUUGUCUGUGAGGUCCAAGUCUCUGGCCUACUUCCCCAAUCGACAAAUGUAGGUGGAUGAAGAAGUCAAAUACGAUGUCUGGAACUCACAGUAGGUCAGAAGAGUUAAAUCUAAAAGCGUAGAGGACCAGUGACAGAUUCACACCCAGAAGUUUUGUCCUUGGGCUUCAAAGAUAGAUUGGCAAAUUGUGAAUCUAGGUCUCUGCUGCUACGACGAGCAUGGGUAGGGUGAGGCUGUUCUUGGAAUCGCUGCUGCUGCUGUUGUUGCUGAUACAGUGUUCGAAGACGAGCUAUUUCUCGUUCUAGCGUCUCCUGUUGAACUGCAUCAACCCAAAAUAAACAUGGAAUUUUACUAAAUUUCUUCAAGCAAAUAUUGAUCACAUAAACCAGCUGUAAGGGAAUUCAAAAAACAAUCUGCGUGAGACACCCUAACUAAAAAGCUAAAUGGUCAAACAACAGCAUUAUUUAUAAAUGGUUUGUGCUGCAGUCACAACAAGAAAGUGAAGCAAGUUACAAAAUUCACUAGAAUUAAUGCCUCCUACAACCAGAAGCAUAUUCAUCAACAAAACAAAUGUAAAUUUGAAUUUCUAUCUAAUAUUUUAAAGGGCAACCUAAUGCAAGAGGUUCCCACCAUAGCAGAUUCUAUGGGGUUGAUUGUACAUUAUCUUUAUCACUACAAAUAAAGAGGUUCUUUUCAUGACUCAGAUCUUGCUCAUCUAGUUUGUGAGAGAGCAACCUUACAAAACUUAAUAGUGCCAUCUAAUCUUUUAUAAGUAUAAAUUGAGGUUGUUUGUCACUACAUAGCAAUGAUUUUAAAUACACAAAGCAUGUCAACAAGUGUCAGAAGCCAAUUUCCAAGAGAUGUGCAGGAGAAUGUGCUUUUUAACUUUGUUUAUGCUGCAAAUCUUCAUUUCUUGAACCUUGUUAAAGUAGCUUAUAUGCAGGAACCAAACUCCACUUUCUGCAUAACAAUUUCAUAUUUGAAGAGGAGAGCAGUUGUUAUUAUCUAACCUGGUUGCUUUUCAAGCCUAGGUCAACAAGAUCUGGUUUAGUGCCUUACAAACCCCUUAUGAACAUAUUGUGUCAACAAAAGUAUGAAACUUUCACAGAGGUACAAGCUUACGGCGUUUUAUAAGUUUCUCCUGAGCCAGACUGUCCAGUCGUUGCUUCAAGGCUUUAUUCUCCAAAUUUAGAAUAAGAUUUUGCUGAUCCAGAAAUUCCAGCUCAGCAAAAACUUCUAGUCCCUCUGCCUGUUGAAUUUUGAGAGCAAAAAAACAACAAAGAUAUCCUUUAAUUUCUUUUCACUUAAAGCUUCUAAGAAUUAUUUAAGCUCGAUCUUUCUAUACUUGCCUGUAAGGCCUGGACGUGUUUCUCGAGCUCAGCAAUAUAUUGCAGUUUCCGGACACGGGAGCGCUGAGCAUAUUGCCUGUGAUACAAUAAAUUGUUUAAGAAAGAGCUUACAAGAUAUACACAACUAACAUGAUCUUCUUAUCAGCCAGAAAUGUGCUAGUGCAAAUUACAUAAAAGGACAGAAAGUUGCAUCCCCGAGUGAUUAAGUACCACAUGAACUCGUGAUAAACAAAUCUAGUUUCUCUAAUUAGUUAUAAAUUGCUAGUUUGAAUGUUUGAUCCCUUUAUCCCUUUUUUUUAUCUGUGCGUAUAUAUGAUGCAUGAAAAAACGUAUGCCUUUCAUCCUCAUAGGCCAGAUGUCAAUUGGGCAUGCAUAACCAUGGAGCAUUGCAGGCCUAGGUCGACAAUCUUAUUUCAGGAAGAAUAUGACAUUGGCACGGGCAACCAAAGUACACCUUUAAUUAGUUUCACAGGCAUGAGGAUACCACAAGAUUCAGUAUUUACCAGCAUUAUUGUGAAUAAUGAAGAUGGCUGUCCUCUAAAAGAAAAGGAAACAGAAAGAUCAGCUCAUAUGAAAGGUGAAAAGUUGUCCUGUUUAUGUCCACCCAAGUAUAUGUCUGGAGGGCAAAUUCCAAUAAUGCCUCUAACGUUUAAAAAAUCCAGUGUAGAUGGAAGAAGUCAUACGGAUCACUUCCAUGUUACAUGCUAAUGCAAAAUAUAUUGUAAUGAUAAGCCAAUUAGUCCAGACUAUCUGUCAUGUUGCAAUGCAUCUAACAAUGCAUUCUAAUGCGGAUGUAUACAUGGGCCCUACAAAUGAGCAACAGAGUUUACUCCACUGCCUCCAACAUACUAUUCAUAAUUAUCACCACUACUGCUACCAGACUGGCAAGUGCUCCUUUUAUUCCACUUGUCUUGCUCAUAAUCGGCAUUGUUACGGUAGACAAACUAACAAGAAUGCCCCUUCAGAACCACACGACCAUGUUCCCUACCCCUAAGAAAGCUCAUCUGUUACAAAACUGCAACAUAAAAGGGGGCCUUUGACUGUAGGUAAAACAAAUCCCACUUUCAUUCCACAUUCAUCACUCUUUAAGUUCUUAAACUUUACCAAUUCGCCAUCCCAAACUUUGAUAAAACCUUAGAAGACCUCCCCAAACACAUCCAUAGUGGUUCUUCUCACUGUCAUGUAGGUCUGAACCUCAAAGAUGGCCACCUCAGACCCUCUAAUGCACAUAAGCAAGAAAAGCCCAAAUCGGCUAAUUAUUCGACUCAAUAGGACAAACCAAAAACAAAAUGUCACAUUUAAAUAAACCUAGAUAUAGUAGAUUAUUCCUCAUAGUAACAUUAUCAAGCAAGUCAUUCUCAUUUAUAUCGACUGAAUGACACACCAAUUAAGAAGUUUCCCCACAUAACUAAAAAUAUACAUGCAUAUGCAUAAAUCUAAACACGGUGAUUAUACAUAAGCACACAUUUUCUGGUAAGCAAAAAGCACAUAUAUUUAAACUCAUGAUUGUGUGGACGCAUAGAGCUCUAUACAAAACAUAUAUACCACUGACAGUUUCAUAGCUUGCGAUACUGGUAUAUCAAGAUCAGUUAAGGACGAAACCAUUGACAUUGACUAGGGAUGAAGCCAUCGAGAUUGGUAGGAUCAGAAUCAGCUGAUCAGCCAAGAAGACAAUUUUAAAAUAUAUGCAAAUCAUAAUAAAACUAUAAAACACUAAAAAUAUAUAAUAUAUUCAAGAAAACAAGCAUAUUUUGUAAUUACAAUAUUCUUUUAACUAUUGUUUUUAUAACAUGUCUCCUUUUUCAGAAAUGCAAAUUGAAAUAUAAAGUAAGCCCCAUUGUGGCUCCAGUCACACUAUAUUAUUACUCCUUUAGUUUAUGAAAAUCAUUCCUUGCUUCCAUUACAUUCUUACUCUCGCACUUGAAACUUGAAAUGUAUACACAUACGCAUUAUAAUGAUCAAAUACAUGGUUGUACCACUCAAAGCAGAGUACACUAGAAGAACCUUUAACUAUAAAGAUGGAAGAUCUUCACCAAUCAUGAAGGCUGAUAGCUAGCAGAAUGAUUCUGACUCACUACAAUUAAUAAUUUCUUAAGUUGGUUACCAGAUUUCUUUAAACUCCCAUCCAAGCCCAUCGAAAAUAAUUAACAUAAUCAACAUCAUCAAUGGAAGAUCCAGAGAAAUUAAACUGAUCUGCAAUAGCCUUGACGAGGCCUACAUACUCGGCCAAGGUUUCGUUGCCAUGAUAGGUGAGAGUCAGCUUCUCCUAGUGAGUCAUCACUCAGGAUGGCAAAUAGUUUUCAGGAGAAUGAUAAACUCCUCCAUACCUCUAACAAGGAUUCGGUAGAGGUAAUUAGUAUCAUAUUUGAUUCUGAAACAGAUGCAAUGAUAGCAUGCAACCAAAGUUGUUCCUUUCAUACACAAUGUUCAGUUGGCAGUGGUAACCUCAAUGGAAGCUGAUUUUACAGGGCAUUGCAUGUAACAUUUACAUCGACCUUCGGGUUACGACUUAAAGGAAGUAAAAUGAAUUGUGCUUGCCAUGGUGGAAAAAAGGUGGAGUUGAGUUUCAUAGGAAGUUGAGCGGCUAUAUCAAUACAGACAAGGUAAAUCAGGGAGGAAAUGGCUGAGCUGAGAGGAACUUUCAAAAGGUUCACCUGCCAUAAGUAUUAGGAUAAUGAAUAUAGCGGGGCAACCAUUUUGAACUCAUGCGAGUGUAGAUGCUCUAAUAACAUGAAGGUCCUUCUAGUACUCUGGUUUUGAAUUACACCAGCAUGUAUUGUAUUACAAUGAUACAGGUAUGACAGGAAUCUUACAACCAAAUCAAUAAAUGAAUUUCCUAAACUAGCGUUUGUAGCAAAGAAAUCCGCUGACCAACUUAAGAAAUUCAUAAUGUAUUGCUUCAAAAUUAUACUGUAAAUUGGAAAAAGUGAAGAUUUAGCCGAUAGUUGGUGAAAACCUUUCAUCUUUAACCUAGUCGGAUAAAUGAGUUUGUGGGUUAAAGAAACGAAUUGCCACCCUUACUGGAGGACAGAGGUUAGAUAUUUACAGCUCGAGUUAACGCUCACAUGUUUAAGUAUUUCAGAACUAUUAAUAUACAUGCUCCCUUUAAGCCACAUACAAAUAUCUGAACUGGAGUUAAAUGACAAUCACUGCAUUGUUAACAAACAGAGCUUGAUGCUACAUUUGUUUUAUACAAAAUCUUUCAAUAGAAAAGGAAAAUUCACCAAUCGAAUCGAUUCACGUAAAUGAAAAUGAAAUUCCAAUAGCAAGUAGUACACAUUCAUUAAUGUAAUCAUUCAAAAGAUUCUGUUGCAUUCAAGAACAGGUCACCAGGAAGGUAGCAUGUUGAUGAUAUAGUCCCAUGUGACAAUUGGCUAAUCAUCUUGUGUACCUGGACUAGCAUGAAUGUGGGUUACACUUAUCUAGAUCAUCGUAUGAAGGCAUGUGUGGUCAUAUUGAUCCCUGUUUAUCACUAUAUCUUUUCAUGAAUGAAAAUGUUAAAUAUAUCCAAUGGUGCAAUAUACUUAUACAUUGCUUCAUAAUGACAAGCAUUUUGCUUGUAUUAUCAUUCAAUACGGCAAGUAUAAAGAUAGGUUGAAAUGCUAAAUUAAAACAACCAAAACAGACAUGCAUUAGCCAUGUCAAAAUGAUGACAUGAAUUUCUGUUGAGUUGUCGCCUCAACUAUUGCCUAGACACCUAGUUGUCGGAUGGGAUUCAAGCUUUGGAAUAGUCUUGCCUAAGUUAUUUGACCUUAGCUUAAAACUCAACAAAAUAGGAAAUCUGAACUGGAAAGAGUCAAAACAACAAGUUUACUGUAUACACAAUCUCUUGAAUCUCAAAUUAAAGAAGAAUAUAACAAUUAAAAUUUAAUUAUAAUUCCCAUGGAGAAUCACUACAGUUUAAUUAAGUCAAUGGGCUAUAAGUUCUGUAUAUAUAUUAAUCACUAAAAUGAAAGAAUAGAAUUUAGAGCAGGAUGACUCUUAUAAAUAUCAAGGAGACCUAAUUCGUUUUGUUUAGGCAAUUGCCAAAUAUUAUAAGACCCAUAAGAAAACUUGUGAAGUGGUUAGAUUCCCAGCUGCAAUAUAUAUUAAGAAAGUUGUAGUGAAGAGGGGCAUGCCACAGUGAAAAGAAAGGUGAGGCAAUAGAUCAGCACUUGCAACAUUUGUGAUGUCAUGGAACUCUUUCCUGAAGCAAUUCCAAAAAAGGAAAUCUUUUAUUUGAAGAUAGUAAUAUUGCAAAGAGCUAAAUUUGAUAAUUCCAAAAAAGCCCUGUAACCAUUAUAGCUAUCAAAAUCCUAAGCGGUGCAUAACUCAAAACAAAGAUAGAUUUGAUAUCCAGUUUAAGCAUAUGCAGCGCUGAACAGGAAAUUCUACAGUGUUAGUAGCUAUCUGUACAUGCUUGUGCCAUUGAUAUGUAUCACUUGUGGCACCACACAAUCAUGCUGCAAUAUUAAUCAUCAUCUGUAUAUGCUUAUGCUAUUGAGAUGAUAAUUUAGUAAGAAAAAUUGAGAAUGAUAUUGGACAAAAAAAAAUCAGCCUUAUGUCAUCAAUCCAUAUAGUAAAUUAGUGAGUCAAAUUGAUAAUAAUAAACUGCCGGUUUGCCUGAGAUUUUUUAUCCCUAGAAAAAAACUGCAAAAGGCUGCAAAUAAGUAGUCCGUGGUGAGGCUUAGGAAGUAGAGCAAACUAUAUCAUGCCUCAACAAUCAACCAGAAUGACGAACAUAUGUUUUUACCAAGGGGUUGAUGCCUAUACUGGUCAUUGAUCCUAAUGAUAGAGAAAAUUUCUCAAGACAGCACAGAGAAUUAAUCACACACAAAGAUAUUAAGAAAUUAGAUUAAAACUUACUGUUUAACUCGCUUUGAAUCCAUCUCUGUCUGCUUAGAAUGAGAGUCUUCCUUAAUUUCAAAGGGACCCUUUUUAUCCUGGACACCAUCUAGGUGCUCAUUCUUUUCAACAACAUCUGGGUUUAAUCCAUCAGAUUCUGUCUGAACACAGGAUGGCUGGGGAUGAAUCGUCUUGUUGUUUGCCAAGAGAGUGCUGCCAGGGUAGCUGACAACAUCCGCGGCCGAUUCCCAUACUUUGAGUUGAGGCCUUCCAGAUGAAUUUGCCUCUGGAUAAUAAGAAAAAUGUCCUACAUCUUUAUGGUGAUUGAGUUCCUGCGACAUCCAAGGAGAUAGUGCUGGAAAGCUCUGUUGCUCCUGACCUACACUACCAACGUUGGACAAACUGACUCCAUCCAAGUAUGCAAAAGAGUCGCUUGUUGAACGACGAUGAGCUCCUCUCCUCACCGGCGUCUCUGGUUCAUUAAGCAAGUCAUCGAGCCACAGAGGUUGCUCCUCAAUGAGAAAGCUCUCAGAGGAAGUACGCUGGUGUCUCUGACCAUCUUUUGGUCUUGGGAUGCCUCUGGGUCCUAUAGAUCCAUAGUCACCGUAGGAUGGGGAUACGGUUGGAAGAGGGCAUCUUGGAGGAAGAAACGACUGUUUCCCACCGGGCGCUGAGCUCCUCAUGUUAGCAGCAGCUCUCAUAUUCGCCAUCAACUUAUUACAGACCCAAACUGGUGAGAUUGAACAAAGCAUAACAAAGUGCAACAGAAAUAAAGAAUUAAAAGCCAAGUGCUGAGAGAUCAAACUGCUGCACGAAUGAGAAUGAACGUAAAAUAUCGACAAAAAAAUAAAAUUGCUUUCGAUUUUCACAAGAAGAGAGUGUCGUCAUAUGCAUCUCAACGCCACAUUUAGAUCCCAGAAGAAAGGUCCACGAGAAAGUAAAUGCCGAUCCAAAAACUCGGUCAUUCCAUACAACGAAACGCCCAAAAGAUCGCGUUUUGAGAUUGGUCCCUAUAGAGAUCAAGAAAAACCGAGUACUUUAAGACGAAAUAGCAUAUGAUUCUCUACAUCUCGAAAUCAUGCAAGUAAAAAAAAGCGUGGAAACCGAAAACUCAAGCUUAAAAACGUCCAAUAAAACGAAAAAUCGAGCAAAGAACACCCGAGUCACAUAAAAAUCUAAUUUGUAUUGACAUUUAUUCCCAAGAUCCGAAGGACCGCAAGAAAACAAAAGGGAAAUCUCAGAACCAGAACCACCCGAAUCAAAUCGGUCAGAGCCGAAAGAAAGGGACGGGAAUGAUCGUACCAAAUCAACACGAAUCCUCGGCUCCUCCCCGAUUCGGCUCACCGGGAUCAAACCCUAAAAGAUGGACCUUUUAGGAUUUGAAACAGAGAUAAAGGAGAGAGCUCAGAGAAGGAGGGACAGAGAGAGAGAGAGAGAGAGAGAGAAAGGCGAGCUUAGAGAAAAAGGGGAAGGGAAGAAGCCGAGACAAAGACACGAGAAGUUCAACGAAUCGCCUACAAUAUCGCGCCUUCUGGUAUCGCGGAGGACGAGGUGUCCUCACCGCUGUGAGGUUACCGCAGCCACACUGCGGUGGCGAGCGCCGUCGGAUUCGGGGAUCGGACGGUCGAGGGACGGGGGGGGUAAGCGGAAACGGCCGGGGUCCGUCGAAGGUCAGGUGCGACGCACGUGCGGGGAAGGCCAGUGGCGAAUGAUGCGUUGCAUGUGAGGAACCACAACAGCACCAGCGUUGACAGCUGUGGAGCGCGUACGGCCGCGUUGGGUUGGCUCAAUAAUAGGGAUGAGAGGUGCCAACGUAGGCACAGCCCAUUGCGAUUGGGGAAUGGCACGCGCGCCCCCACAUGCAUUCACCAAGCCAUGUCAUGUGACAUGGCAGCGAGUCUUCUUUGCACUCACUAGUCGUUCUUUGGUUUCAGGGUUUGAAAGCAUAAUAAUAAUAAUAAUGAUGAUGAUGAUAAAUUUCUAAUAUCUUAAUUAUUCAGAAUUAAUUAUAUGGAUCUUUUGUUGUUAUCGUUGAGCUUCCUAAAAUAUUAUAUUUUUAUUAAAUUAUUAAUAUUUAAAGUUAUAAUUUUUAAUAAAAUAUUCUGAUGUCUUCCUUUUUAUCUCUUUGUUGAACGUAAACUACAUUGAGCUAUCUCGAGAAACAUAAUAGAAUAAUAGAAUAAACACAUUCCAAGAGCCAUGACAAAGAAGACACUGCUUGGUGUAACUACGAGUCUUCUUUGACUUACUAGGUUGGUACAAGCACGAGUGGGGGAGAAUCAUAGAUUUCAUUUUUAUGGUUUAUAAUAAUAAUAAUAAUAAUAAUAUUUUGAUUAUUUAGACUCGUCAAUCUUUUAUCACUGUUAAGUUGCUAGUCAUAGCUAUCCUAUAAAUCAAUCACGUCAGAUAUGAUAUACUUUUUUUUAUUUAUUAUAUUAUUUAAUAUUUUUAUUAUUUUAUAUUAAAUAUAUUGUGAUAUCUAUAGAUCUAUGCAAUGAGAAUCGGAUCGUGAUGAGAUCACGAUAAUGAGACUGAUUCACCUUUAAACAAAGAUCUUAAAUGAUCUCGAUCAUAUGUUGCCCGAGAGGGAUAUUGAGAUAACUGGACAGACUAGUGUACUAUAUACCCGUGAUGUGGCUGGUCUCAUAGUUGCUUAUGUGGGGACGUUAGGAAUACAGUGUAAGUGCUCGUUGGAGAAUGAGUUUACUGAUUGAUCCAUUCACAGAAUGCUAGAUGGUUGAUGAUGUCUAAUUGUCAUAUAACGAUUCCUUAGUCCUGGUGGUGUAUAUGGUCAUUAGACUUGAGACAUUAAGGAUGUCCUAUAUGUGUACUCUACUCUUUGAUACCAAACUUAUAAGUCUGAAUGUUCUAGAUCUAACACAAUCGAUCAUCGAGAGUGAUAGCCAACAUUACGAGGGCUAUUAUAUGUCGAUAGAGGAUCAUCCGCUCUCGAUGUCAUGAGAAAAAUAUCUCAUGUGUUCUUGUUCAGACAAAUCAUUGGCUAGGGUCAUUUAGAUCGAGAGAGAAAGAGUUAUCCGGGAGAAUCUGAUUAAAGUGAGACUCGAUGAGAAAUUAUAUGAGCUUGACAUACCAUGCCCCGUAUAUGAUCUUUGAGGUAUUAGAUAGAUAAAGGACUAUAGAUACAUGGUAAUUGAGGAUAGACCGGUACAAUAGAUUGGGUUCUCCUAUAUUGCCUAUGGAUUGCGACGUAAUGACCUAGUACGUCCGGAAUUGAUGAGUCGAGUGAAUUAUUAUUGAGAUAAUAAUUUACUGUGCUAGAAGGAGUUUUGACAUGUAUGACUCACGGCCAGCUCGAUAUUGGGCUUAAAGGAUCACACACAUAUGGUAGGCGCUGUGAUGAGUAAAGAUUCAUAUAUGAGAUAUCUAUCAAAGCUCAUGUUAUUAGAUAUCCAAUAAGCCCCUGAAUUAUUGGAUCAUAUGGAUAAGAUCCAAUAAGAGCCAAUGAGAGACUAUUAGAUAUAAAUUCAUUAACCUAAUAGGUUUGGGUAAUUGGAUGGAGAUCCAAUACUCAAUAGGGCAGGAUCCAUUAGGGUUAAGUUGAUAGGAAAUUUUUAUAAAUAGGAGGGAACCAAAUGCUCAUAAGCUAGAGAUCUCUUGAUUGCCACAUCUUAUUCUUCUCUCUUGAUAGUAGGCUUGGAGAUUUGAUGAGCGUUGUCAUAGCUCUAUUGUGUGGAUCAUCGCUAGAGAUAAUGACGUUUGACCUAUUUUACCCUCUCUUACAAAUCUAUGAGGAUAUAGGGAUAUACGAUCCCCCUAGGUAAAAUAUUAUCUUUCAUAUACGUAGUUUUCAAUUUUUUGGAUUUUGUACACCAAUAUUCGCAUGUUGACAAACACAAUUUAGAAAAUUUAAGGAUUUUUAUUUUUUAUUAUUCUGAUACGUCUCUAGAUAUCUCUAUAUAAGCUUCAUACACUACUAUGUUUUCUUAUUAAAUUUAGGAGUAUUAUAGAUUUUUAUUAUAGUUUUCACUAAAUUCUUAUUAGCUCUUCUCUUAUUACUCGUCAAGCCACUAAUAGUAUCGAUUAGAUUUAGGAUUUAAAAAUAUGAAAUCAUAAUCGAACCCAAAUUCCUUAAAUCGACAUAAGAAUUCAUUGAUCUAAUGUCGCCAUUAUUCAGUCGUAAUCUUUUCCAAAUCUCACAUUAAUGAAAAAUUUAUACGUGCUUAAACUACUGACCCAAUAUACUUAAAACUUAAAAAACAAUAAUAAUAAACUCAUUUUUCAAGUCAUAUAAAUCGAUUCAAUUCUUCUCUUACAAUUUAUAAUUAUCACAUUGCAACUCAACACCACCACAUAUCAAUCUAAACCUAACCCUGGUUAAACAAUGUUGGUCAUUGUCCUACCUAAAAUCAUUCCCAAAAGUCAUAAGGGGUUGCAACCCACAUCGAAAUAAACUAUCAUGUUAGUUUGGUCAACUUCUCCUAUUGGAUGUACUUAUCAUGUCUCUCAUGACGAGCAUAUGAUAACUGUACAACUUAUAAUUUCUUUAGGGCAAUGAUGAACAACACCACAUUUCUGGCAUAUUUAAAUGAUUAGUAAUGUCAUUGUUUCCUUGCUGUGCACUCUCAUUAUAUCAUUGUGGUUGGUAAACCAGUGGGCCAAUAAUUUCUAUGUUGCUUAUUAAUUGAUUGUCAACUAAGCUACUGAGUGACUCAUUUUUCAUUAAUUUACAGAUAAAAAAAUUCUCACAACUCCUGAUAGAAUAUCCCUAUAAAAAGAGUAGGUUUUUUCGGUAUGAAUAUAGCAAACUAAAAAUCAAGCAAAAUUAUUUUUGUCUUGAGUAAUUUUAUUCUCUAGACAUCGUCGAUGAAAUCUUUUUGAUGCUUAAAUUAAUAUAUAUGUGAUGUGAAAAAUUUAUCGAUGUAUAAUUUUAUACUUGUGAUGAUCAUAUUAUAGGGUUAUGGUAUAUGUUCAACAAAUAUUUAUUUAUUUUAUUAGAUUUACAAUUUGAUGUAAUAUGAUAAAUAAUCUCUUUAAGUAUUUAAAAAUAAAAUUAUAUAUAUUAAUUAUUUCUAAAUUAACCAUAGCCUUAUGCACAUGUGAAUGUUAAGAUAAUGAUAAUAAUAAUAAUAAUAAUAAUAAUAAUAAUAAUAAUAAUAAUUAUAAUUAUUAUUAUUGUUAUUGUUGUUGUCGUCGUCGUCGUCGUCGUCAGUAGUAUUGUUGUUGUUAGUGUUUAUUUAAUGCCACAUGACGUUGGCUACGGCUACUCCAAGCACAGGUCAGCAUCUGCUCUCGUUGACCACGACUCCCCUUCUCCAAUGGCGGACUGCGAAGGACUGGCGGCCUGAUCCAAGGUGAAUGAGGCCGGGGGAGGACAAAGGAGGGAUGAGCAAAGAAGAAGAAGAAGAAGAAGAGGAGGAGGAGGAGGAAGAGAAGACGAAGAAGAAGACUAAGGAUAAGGAUCGCUCUGCGAUAAGGUUGGCCGUCGAGGAGCUCUCCCUGGUCGAGCAUCAGGGGAAAGCUUCUACCUUGGCCUUUCUCGCCGUCUCCAACCUGCUCUUGCAAUUCCUUGGUACGCAUCUUCUUUCUCUCUCCCUCUCUCUCUCUCUCGUCUCUCCUCUUCUCUAGGGAUUCUCAUGUAGAACUACACGGCCAGGAAGAUUUAGCUUCUUUGCCAUCUAAUCAUCGUCUCUUCCUUCCCAAUUUAGUGGUUUCGGUUCAUCGAGUAAAUGACCUACGGAUAUCCAUGGAUAGAUUUGAAAGGCCGUGAUUUCUGAAACAUCUACCAUCACCUAAUUGGAUAUACCGAAUCUAUAGCUCCUGCAAUAUGCUUUUAUGGAACUGAGAACAUGUAAAGAGUGAAUUCGAACGGUUGUGUGAAUCGAUGGAUUACUGGUGUGCGUGCAGAUAAGAUUGGACCGACCGUGGCCGUCCUGAGGCACGACAUCCGGCGGAAUAUCGAGGUAAAUCCAUACCAUUGUUUUACUUUUCUCCCUACUCUGCAACCUUUCGAGUCUCUAGUGUUAUCCAAAUUGUUGUAAGAUUGUGCCUUUUCCCUCUCCUUAGUGCGCAGGACAUGUGUUCGACACAAUGUGGUUAACACCUCGUUCAUAAGCUUGUGGUUUGGAUUGAGAAGUAAGGCAUAUACGGGUCCAAUUUAUUGCUAAUGCGAACAUAAUCAAUUAACUCUUCCAAUUCACUGGCUAGCAGUCACCUUUUCUUUUUCACCUCAGAGAUAUAAGUCUUUCCUUGUUUUCAUUCUGAAGGAUGUGAAAACUAGGAAAUGUGCAGGUUUUAAUCCGUUAGAAGGGUGCUUGUCAGCCUUAUUUACCUGCUAAAUGGAAGAACGUUUUUGGCUUUGAGAUGAGAAUAAGAUCUAAGCCAUACGACAAACAAAUUGAGAACAAAAUUGUCAUAUGGUGGUCGGAUCUUUUAUUAGCGGUCCAAGGCCGGUGUAAUUUAUCGCUGAUGUGUAGUCUCAUCUGCUCCUGUUCGACACCUUUGUCCAAUUUGAAACAUCAAUAUCCUUCUUUCUCUGGGACCAUUUGAUGCUUGUGUCUUCCACACAGUACCAACCUAGGGUCACCAAAAUAAUACAAUGACCACCAGAGGGUGACAGCAACCUCAUCCCAACCAAGCAGGAUCUGCUGCAAGGAAUCUGGGAACUGAGUUCCUUGAAACUUCAACAUCCUCAUGCCAUAUGUUCUUUGUCAGUACCACAUACAGCAAACUGGAUAAUUUCAUUAUUUUCUAAAAUGUCCUUCUAGGGUUAGUGAUGAGCGUUAAUUAUCAACUCUGAUCCAUAAAGUCUGAUGUGCUUAUUAUAUACGGCAAUACCUCAUGUUGUACAUGGUUUACAAGCUCAAUCAUCAUUUCACAAAUUUUGUCAUUGGUAGGCCUUGGUAUUCUAAGUACUGCAAGUUACUUUUAUAACAUCAAGUAAAAUAUGCUUUAAAGUCAUGAAGCACACAACCUAUACUAUUUUUUUUUCUUGAAUAGUUAAAUUCCAAAUAAAACGAUUUCACUGACAUAAUCAGACCACAGAUAUCAAAUAUUGUUAGAAACAAAAGAAAAUGUUCAUAUUGCACCACAUAAGUGGCAUUUAGUAUAUGUGUCAGCAUGACACUAAUUUGCUAGGAUGCAGCAAUUGCCUACAUGACCAUGUUAACGUGCCAAGAAUUGCUACUUCUAUAGAGAUUGGAAGAUGUAUACGUUUUGGACGCAUCGGGUUACUCAAGUUUGGUAGAUAUAAUCAAGAAAGAAGUGAGCGAGGGAACUGCAAGGAAGUCUGAUAGCUGUACAAGAGCUACAUUAUGGCUUACUAGGUACAAGGUUGACGACCUUUCCAAUGCUUUCUUCUUUCCUGCUUAUGCCUGUCCAUGGAAUUUCAACACUCAUUUCUGUAUAUCGUUUGAUGUUUUUUGGCAUUUUUCACGAGUGCACUAUUAUCUCUCAGAAAUUCCAUGAACACUUUUUUCUGGAGAAAUUAAAAGAGUGUGCUCUUCCAUCCUCCAAAAUUCAUAUUUCUCCUUGGAUUUAUUAGUAUGAAUCUACUAACUAUAGCUUAAUGUCUCAACGCAAUAUGACACUAUAUAGAUAUUAUAUUCAUAAACAUUAUACUAGUUGUAAAACUUAUGGUGUUCAUUUUCUACUUCUAUUUUUAUAAAUGUAUUCUGAGUUUCAAACAUUGUACAUAUGGCUCUAGAUAUUGCAUAUCUGAUUAAACCACCACAAUAAAUUAUUCACUUGAAAAUUUGUGCCUAUAAUUGAUACUGUGGAUACAUGUUCUUAAUCAUCAUUACAUCAAUAUCAUGAUAAAUAACAUAUAUUUUGGUUUCAUAUGCUAUGAUAUAUAAUGUAAAUAUCAUGUUUUUCAUUGUGGUAUUUACAACUUAAACAUUAUACACUCUGUGAUGAGUAUGUUAAUUCUUUUAUAAUGUGAUAUGUUUGUACAAUGAUACAUAAUAUAUAUUGGUUUCAUAUACUAUAUAUAGAAUGCAAGUAAUACGCUUCUUAACACAGCACGUAUAGGUAAAAGCUUGAUAUGCAUUGCAAUGAUUGUGGUGGCAAUGAUGAUAGGUUUGAUAUAUUUGUAAAGGGUAUGAUGCCACUAGCUAGAGGUGAUUGUCAAAAUGAUGGUGCUAGUGGAGAUGACAAAGUGAUUUGGUGAUAUUGAUGAGAAGUGUGUGGUAGCCAUGACAUAUGUGGUGGUAUUAGCAACGACAUCAUCGUGAGAGGCAAGUCAAUGUCAGGAGCAGUAGUAAAGGUGAUGAUGAGAAUGAUGCUAGUGUGAGAAACUCAUAGGACGAUUUGUAAUGAUGAUCGUCUAUGAUGAGGAGGCAGCAUACAAGCCAAGGAGGUGGUGCUAAUAGUGUCAUUGUGGUAAAAAAAGAUGACAAAAUGGGAAAAAGAAGGCGACAAAUAUAUUUUCCAUAUAACAGGUGUUUUUUUUUUACAAAUCCGUCUCUACCUUUUGAUUGAUGGUUUCAAAUCCCACUAGUCCUUUUAAAACCACAGGUGUUGAUAUCCAUUUAUAGUUUCAUAUUAUAGAAUCCAAAGGCAAUUUACUUUUUAGAGGACAUGAGACAUGUACCUGCGAUUUCUCCAACAGGACAAUUGUGGCAUUUCUGAAAGAUAACGACACCUUCAUGCAAAUUGUUCAAUUUUUUAUUUCUGUUGGUUACAUCUUUCUGGUUUUCUAUAUGAAAAGCUUUAAAUAAAUAUAUUAUCAUAAUUCUUUUGCCUUUGUUAAGCCAUUAUGUUCUCUAGCAAAUCCAUGUGCCAUCCUGUCAACUAGUGUAUUGUUGUUAUAUUGCUGGUGCCUCUCAUACUUCAGAUGUUUUUUAUAUCAGGUCCAUGGAUUUUAGUGUUGCACUACUAGAGAUACUAAAUAAGGAUUCUGAAUUGAGUCUUCAACAAGUUGUUGAAGAAGCAUAUAAGACUACACUAAAACCAUGGCAUGGUUGGAUCUCAUCUGCUGCUUACAAGGUAGUGAAUGUAUCCAUUUGAUGUCUAAAGUUUUCUCUUGUUGCUAGAAUGCACUUUUAAAUACUCUACUGUGAUCCUUGUCUUUGUCGUAUAUAAUAGAGGGAGUAAUUGCACUGUUGGCCUCAGCAUUACACCUUGAUAUUUAAUACUAUAUAUCUUUUUGUCAAUUUUAUCCAUAUACUGAUUAUAUAUUAACCAAGUUGGUCCUUUCAUCAUAGAUUUGCCCAUAUGGUUAAUGUCGUUGUUUGGCCAGAUUAAAAUACGCCAUCACAUCUUUCUUCUCUUCCCAUCCUCCUCUUCUAACUUCUCCUAGUAAUUUUUUCCCUCAUUUGCCACCACCAAACUCAAGCACCUGACCCACAAAAAGAACAGCAAAGCAAAAAGGGAUGAGGGAGGGGUCCAUACCACCUCAUUGUUUUCAGAUAAGCUCCAUGAGUGAUGUUUAAUAAUUAUUCAUUUGUUUUCCUUUGUAACACGAAACAGACUCUACAGAAGCAUGCUAAAAGAAAAUUCUUAUCAGUAUAUUUAAGUUUUUAUUUGCAAAGACAAUUCUAUAGAAAAAUUCUGUUUGAGAAAUAUUUUGGCGCUGUGUCAAGCGAACUCAUGAAGCUUAAGGGGAGCAAACAACAUAUUAGUGUGUUCUUUUCAGCAGAUCAGUUUGUUUUCAUUAAGCCCAAUAUACUUAGGUGCAACUUAGUGUCAAUUCAUAAGUACAAAGCCCUCUUAACUCCAGAAUGCAGAUUUUGUCAAUGAAGUUCCAAAAUGUUGUGUUUAAAACUGCUCUCGGAGUAGGUUGUCUGGAAUUUGGGAUUGUGUGUUUGUUCUUCUUUGAUCAAAGUUGAGCAGAAAAGGAAAUGAAAAAUUAUCUGAUCAACAGGUAGCUUUGAAGCUCAUCCCAGAGAAGAAACUAUUCAUCAGCUUGCUAAUGGGUAAGGGGCAAGAUCAGAACAUGUUGAAGCCCGAUAUCCAGAACCUGGUCUCAUUAGUUCAGCCUCUUCUAACUGAUAUCCAUGCCAACUUGGUUAGUGUGCUUCUUUUUCUAUUGGAUAAUUCUUUUCAGUAACCACCAGUGAGUUUAUUAAUAAGCUGAUUGUAAUGCCUUUUCAUUCUUGAAAAUACAGAAAAAGCUUCGGCUCGACAGAUUGAAGUCGACCUAAAACACGAAAUCCAUCUCGAUCAAUCUUCAUGUACAUUCUCCAACUUUUUCCUGUAAUUAUCUCUGAAUCCCUUUUUUUUUCUUGUUCUGUAUAUUUAAAUCAGUUUCAGUUUUCUUGAUAGUCAUGCAACCUCAUCUGCAACCAGGAAUCAUGUGAUGUUACUUAAAUGGCAGAAAAGCAUAUCUGUUUUAGCAACUAUCAUAUUGUGCAAUGUAUAUCCUGCGUAAGAAAUUUGCUUUUUCUUGAUCAUUGUGAUUUUUUUAACGGACAAAUAAUUCUGACAAAGUUAUCUUAAGCCAAGAAUUGGAUUUACAGGUAGAAAAUCUGCGGAUGACCAUUGGAUUCUUCCUCGAUUUGUGAUCCUAAUCUUUUUUGUUGUGUAAAUAUGGAUGAGAAGACGUAACUAUGGGAAGGUAGCGUAGUAGAUUUAGUGCAUGCAUACACAUCCAGCUCGAGAACAACGGUGUCAUAGUGCCCUUAUAAGUCUUGGAGAGGACGUAGCUGCGGGCCAUGCAGAACGGCUCGCUCCCUCCCACCACCGGCAGCUCCGCCGCAUCCGGGAGCUUCGGGUAGAUGGAGGAGACGGCAAGCGAGCCGCAUUUGUCAGGCUCGCCGUUACUAUGGGAGGCCACGACGUGGGAGCCCCGAGCGCGUCCGACGAGCUUCGACGUGAGGCCCGGCCAUCGGGCCAGCGGAUCAUCGACGACGAUGGUGUUCCCGUAGUAAGACUUCGGUUUCGAUUUCGGUUCAUAUUUUCGAUUCAUUUUGGUUUCGGUUCAGGACCGGUUCGGUCCAAACCUAAUAAGGUAGCCCAAUAAGCCUUUUCCCGUUCUCAGCGGCAAUCUCGUGAUUCGAGCGCCAGAAAACCCUCCGUCGAUUCCGUUCGCCUGUGACCAUCCUCAGUGGCAAUCUUGUAAUACGAUGGCCAUCAACCCUAGGUUGAUUCCGUUCGCGCACCUAUAUAACCCCGAGAUACCGGCGACGCCCGGUCUCCUCUGUCGUCACAUCGCGUCGCAACUCGAGCCCUUCGAAGAUGUCGAAGCGAGGUAGGACUCCCAUCUCCGUUUGGAUUGCUAUUGAUUCUUUUGUUGCUUCUGCGAUCCGGCUUCUAUUCGAGAACCAGUCGAGAUCCAAGGUUUAGGGUUUUAUGUGGAGUUGUUUGACCGGGAUUUGCUUCGGCGGGGUUUGCUUGCAGGGCGCGGAGGAACGGCGGGGAACAAGUUCCGGAUGUCGCUGGGUCUGCCGGUGGCAGCGACGGUUAACUGUGCCGAUAACACGGGGGCGAAGAACCUUUACAUCAUCUCCGUGAAGGGGAUCAAGGGCCGUCUUAACCGCCUUCCCUCCGCUUGCGUCGGGGAUAUGGUCAUGGCCACCGUAAAAAAGGGCAAGCCCGACCUGCGGAAGAAGGUCAUGCCCGCCGUCAUCGUCCGCCAACGCAAGCCAUGGCGCCGAAAGGACGGCGUCUACAUGUAUUUUGAAGGUUUGUUGAAUGGCUUCCAUUUGCAAGUUCUUUAUAUUGUUUUCUAAUUUGGUUGUGAGCCUUUUAAUGCUUUCGUUACAACUUUGCCGAUGACGUGUUCUUUAUGAUUACAUCCGGCAAGAUAGAUAGCUUCGAACUGUAGUAUAUAGAAAUUCCUUUAUCUUGUCAAGUUAAUUGAUGUAGAUGUUUGAGAUAAUAUUGACAUGAUAUAAAUGUUGGUGAUAAUCUUCUACAUAGUUGAUUUACUUGAUCAAUAUCAUUCUAUAUACUAUAUAGUAGGUUUACCUGAUCAAUUUAUUACAAGCUUGCAAAAAUUGUUAUGAAUUUGAGAUGAAAAAUUUAUUAUCUUUAUAUGUGACUGUAGGAUGAGUGUGAAAUUUCAUCGCUUUUAACUGUCCAUAUAUUCAUUUUGUUAGAGGAAAAUAAAUGUUUACCGGUUUUGGUUUUCCUAGAGUAAAGAGAGCUGUUUACAUUCUGGGAGAGCGGCACUCAGCUGUAUCAAGGCUUAAUAUGGUUUAAAUCUGAAAGUGCUAAUGCUUUGCUCAGGCUCCAUUCUGCAAAAAGAUCUGAACCCAUUUCAGAUUGUAUCAGAUAAUCUGGAAUAUAGUGUUGUUGAAAAGUCUAGGUGCUUUAAAAUUGCUAGGUAUUAUACAUGUCCAAAUUAUGGUUUCCUUGGAUUUUCACAGAGGAGCUCAGAAGUGAUACCUCUUUAAGGUGAUUCUGGAGUGCUUCACAUUUAGUUGGAUGACCACACUGGUCUUCAGAAGUAGGUAUCUGGUCUUUUUGUCGUUUUAGCUUUUGGUUUUCUGCCCAUCACACUCUCCCUCCCGAUAUUUUUGGGGUCUUGGUCUGAACUGUUACACUAUUCAGUAUGGUGUUUGUUUGUCCUUCCAUUUCCUUGAAUGCUUAUCUAUAUUAAUCUGCAAUAUUUUUGUCAUCUAGUCACUAACAUUGUUUAUGUAUAUCAUAUGCUUUUAGUAUCUAGUCAUUUACCAUUUGCUGGUUUUGUGUUGCAAGCCUUUUUCUACAACUGUGAUGAUAUAUUUGCAGAUAUCAUAAUCUACCAGUUUUGAGAGAAGAUCAUUUCAUUAUGUGAUGGGUUUAUCACUUUGAAUCUCAUAGUGCAAACAUAUUGCUUUUCUUAAUAUUCUAGGUGCAAAGCACGAACUUCAGAGUAUCUUUUGUUUUUUUGUCAGAAAUGCCCAUUGUUCCCUUUUAUACUUCCAGCCAUUUAAUGCUUUGACCUUCCAUAUUAUACAGAUAAUGCUGGAGUGAUUGUUAAUCCCAAAGGUGAAAUGAAAGGUAUGUUUGAUGAAGCACAGAUAUUCUUUUCACUCCAAAAGAUGAAAAAGCUUAAUUCCUUAAUGAUAUAAUAAGCCAAGUGAAAUCUUAAAUUUUGGCAAAAUGUCUUGCUUACUGUACCUCAACUUUAUUGCCAUGAAACAAUCGAUACUUUUUUAGUCAAAACAUGCUAUUACCAUAACAUAUUUUCCUUUCACGGUCUAUUUCAGUUCUUGUUGUUUCGAGGGCUUGAACUUAAUAGUAUUCUGUUAAUUGUCAUAUUUGCUGCAGGAUCUGCUAUCACUGGACCCAUCGGGAAGGAAUGUGCAGAUCUGUGGCCGAGGAUUGCCAGUGCAGCAAAUGCUAUCGUGUAACAUGAUGAUGCUUAAGAUCAACAGCUGAGGUUUUGGAUUAUGAUUAUAUGUUUCAAGAGAUAGGUAUCAUGUUGUCUUAUUUGGUUACUGGUUAGCUGAUGUUUACUAGGUGUUCAACUUUAUGGAUCUGAUGUUCAGCUGUUGCUGGAGACAUUUUAAUUCUACUUGAUCUAUUUAUGAUGUGCUUCAGAAAGAAACUGAGAAAUUAUUGAUGUUCUAAUCUUAUGGAAGUGACAGAAAUGAUAGGUUGAACUGUGAUGGGAACUGAAAUUCCAGAAUAAUAAAGUUUAAUUUGAUAUAUUUGGUUUAUGUACUAGGACAUCAGAGUCAGAAUGGUUGCACAGUUGGUUUAUGGCUCUUCAAUGAUCAAAAUCAGGAUUAACUGUGAUUUAGGAUUGCAAUCAAGAUUAAGGUUGGCUAAUUUUCUCUUUUUUUUUAAUCUUUUAUGUUCUUGCUAGUUGAGUAAAUCUGAAAUUGUUUAUUGGUUUUUAAAGGAUGUUAUUUUAGUUUUAAAUUUGAGUGCAUGUUAUUGUACAUUGGAAAAUCUCAAGGAAAUGAGGGUGAAAUUACCUUGAUCCCAGUAUUGUGAAUCACUGAUUCCCCUCAUUAUUUGACACUUUUUUUUUAAAGAAAAGGAUGUAUUAAUUUAAUAGCAAAAGCAUACAAACUUGUCGGAGGCAAAUUCUCUCUCCAGAAAACUUGGGAAUUGUGAAGUUAUGUCACGCGCCUCGUUAAGCAAUCAAAUUUUGAGCUGCCAUUUACAAAUAUAUAAUCUUUUGGUUGAUAUAAAAAUUUGGUACCAGGUUAGUUUGCACUGGACAUUACUCUAGAAAACAGAUGGAUCAUUCUUAUAAUAAUCUGGGAUUAAGAUCUUUAGUACCUUUUUUCCGAAAAUUUUCUCUUAUUAAAUUGACAAAAUGUUUCUCUUUAACUUCUUUUAUAUUUUAUGUUGCAGUAUUUGAUAGUCAUGUAAAGCAGACUGUUAAUUCUAGUGAUCUUUUUUUUUUUUUGUGAAUAGAUUGUUAAUUUUAGUCACUUGUUGACAAACCUGUAAAUGUCUUCUAUGACUUGAAAAUUUAGAAAUUCUCUAUUAUUGAGUGGUUGUAUAUUGUCUAUGAGGUGAACAUGACCAAUUUCUUCUUUCCAUAGAAGUAUCCUAAGCUGCCACAAAACAAUCAAGUGUAUUUGUUGACACAUUAAUCUUUGUUCUCUUAUUUAAUACACUAUGCAUGCUAAUAUUAUCUGCUAAGGUCUUUUAGUUUUCUUUCCCUGUUGUGUAGAGUCGCUACUGCAUUGUGCAAUUUCUUUAUAUUUUCUCUAUCACCCUUUUCAUUUCUAAUUGUGCAUACGAUUAAUUAGUUCGCAAAUAUUCUCAUUUUCCUCGUAAAAAGAGAAAAAAAAAAAGGCUGCUAAGCCCAGGGCAUAAAAUAAGUGAUGCCCACUGGAACAUGAUAAGAUAAAAAAUGUUCAAUUAUUAGCUAAUUUAAAGUAAGUGAUAAAAAAAUUCGACUUGUAGGAAGGCUCAAGUAUUUUUUUUCCCUAAAGAGAUCUAAGCACCUGUUAACUUUGAAGUUCUCAAAUGUUUUUUUCACGUUAUAUGUUUAUCUCCUGGCCAUCAUUGCAAGUGCCAUAGUAAAUAUUCAUGUGUGUGUUUGUGUGUUUCAUGAUACGUUCAAAUGGAUGGAAUUUUAACAUCCCACAUGAGAAUCAUGUGUUGCAUCAUCCUAGUACGUGUCAUCAGCGUCAAUGAAAUCUUAUCCAUGGUUUACGGAACAGUCUUGGAUGAACUCUUCGACUUUGCAUACUGGUGAUACUUGCUCUAUUUUCCACUUUCUCAAGCUGAGUGAGUAGCUGUCAUGCAUGUUCUUUUUGUAUGCUGGGUAAAGUAUAUGUUCCUUUUACCAUCAAAUAUAACAGCUGCAUACUAGCAAGAUUUUUAGCACCUCCUCCACUUGGCAUGUUCUUUUCCGUUCCUAAGAGCUCAGCUGGUAGCCUUUGCAGGAGAAUAGGAGAACCUGCCAAGUGAAGACAUCUUACUUGACGACUCUCGUUCUUCAGCAAAAUCUGUAUUCACAGGUUUGGUAUCUCACUUGUCGUCUUCAUACUAAAUUUUCUCUACUCUAUGAUGAUCAGAGAGAGAGAAAGAGUUGUGUGGUGAUCCAACUGGGUCCAUUGAUCUCGAGUGUGCUUUGAUGGAUCUGAAAGAAGUCCUGUCCGUGAUCUCAUUCCAAAGUCAAUCUCUUUUACUUUCACCAGAUGAUGACAUGAGGAUCCCAACAAAGACCUGACAGCCCAGGUGGAAUGGACAAUCCACCUGACAGAGUCCAUCUUGCAGGAUCUUGGCAUUUGAAAGCCUGACAGAAAGUACUGAGAGCAGAUUUAGAUCUCUGCUGUUGGGUCUUUCUUUUUAGGUGGGGCAUCCAGGAAAAGAGUGCUUUGGUGGACCUCCGCAUGUCAUCACAAUUGAAUAGAAAUGCUUAUCAUAAAGUGAAAAAGGAAGUCUCAAAUACAUAGGCUACCAUUAAACUUGCAAGUGCAGGACAACUCUUGAUUCAGAUAAAAGCUUUCCCCCAUCUAUUUGUCGGCCACUUUGUUGGUGUUGCAAUGCCUUCCUCAAUUGGCUCCCUUUGUCAUACUAGCUUGCCCUAGGUUAAUGAUAGUUGCUGCAAUAUACAUGUAUUUAACCUAAUUAUGCUCCAUUACAUUGGUGACACGUCUCACACCUACCGAGUGAGAUCUUGGGAGAUCCUAUUGAGACUGUGCCACACAAAUCUCUCAUGAGAGGCACAUUGUCCAUUAGUUAAUGUCUGAUUUUUCCAUUAUUUAACGACUAUGAUCACUGUAGAAACUGUUCUAUUGAUGUGAUGGGAUCUACACUUUUGAGCCAUAUUGAUUUGUGUGAGUGAGCAUAUCACAGAGAAAGUUUUUUAGAAUGAUUUGGGAACAGAUGCAUUACUAUUAAAUUAAGUCAUGCGAUUUUGUCUUUACAGAAUUAAAAAUCAAUUGUCCAGCAUCUUCUUUUCAGUAGUUUCUUAAAGACCACAAUAUCAUGAUAUGUAGUGAGGAUUUUGGUGCCUCCACAUAAGACAAAUAAACUACAAGUAUAUUAUUAUCACAAUAAGUUCUUGUUGUCAAACAAAUUUCUGAUAUGGUUGAUGAAAAAAACUAGAUAAAAUAAAUCUCAUAGAACCACAAAUUUAGGGUACUAAACUUUCCUUUUGAGCUUUGGCCACUGGGAAGUAGUGGUCAAUAGAUGGUACUUGGGAGUUGUCCAAUCCUAAUCGGUUGGCUGGUUUGGAUGAGAACUGGUACUCGUCAAAGAGGAAGCAAAUGGAUUGAUGGGUCAAACUUGAGUUAGGGUGCUGCUGCAUAACUUAUCCUUGAAAGAACAAAGAACUAGCUUGCUGUUUUGGACUAACACACUUCUGUCAAUGCACAUAAUGUUCUAGAAAAGCAAACAGUAGUGGAGAACAUACUCGAUAGGAUAAAAUAUGAUGAUGAUGAUGAUGAUGAUGUUGCAACAGUACAAGAUAGGCAUAGUUAAUCUGUAUGGUCUAAGAGCAAUCCACUGACUUGGUCCAUGCAUUUCUUUUUCUCACUUGUGAUGCACUUACAGCAAUAAAAUCUCAAAAACAACACCAAAGAUGCAUCGUCUCAGAUACAUUGUCUCCUUCCUCAUCUGGAGAUACAGAAAAGGCAAGUUUUAGGAAUGACUUAUUUGCAGACUAUGAGAAGAAGUGAAGCAGAUAGGAUACUUAAAGCUUAAAGCUUUGUCAGUUUCUUAAUUACCCUCUCUCUCUCUCUCUCUCCCUCUCUCGCCAUCCUUUGCAUCGGAACUAUAUAUAUAUAUAUAUAUAUAUAUAUAUAUAUAUAUAUAUAUAUAUAUAUAUAUAUAUAUAUCGAUGAAGCUUUCAUCCUUGUGAGAUAUCAGACUCCAUGCCAUGCGUCUCAUCCUACCACUUCAUGCAGGUCACAUCCCUUGUGAGAGCUCAAGCAUGAUGGAAGGAGAGGGGAAGAAGAGUGAAGAGAAGAAAGAUGAUGGAGGAGCAGCUCUACGACCGUCACAACAUGAAGAACAAAAGGCCAAGGUGGUAUUUUGUUCAUCUUCUUCGUCGUCGUCGUUGUCUCCUACGCUUGAGCUCAACCUCAUCGAGUCGCUGGUCUCAGUACCCUCGGAGCCACCACCGGCGGAGGCAACAACCGAGUUGGAGCCGCGGGUAUUCCCCUGCAACUACUGCAGGCGGAGGUUCUACAGCUCGCAGGCGCUCGGCGGGCACCAGAACGCGCACAAGCGCGAGCGCACCCUGGCAAAGCGUGGGAGCCACGGCGCAGGCUUUGGCGAAGCCAACUGCGGAUACGUACCGAGCAUGGCUUCGUUGCCGCUCCGAGGGACGUACGCCGGCAGGCCGCUCGGCAUACAGGCGCACUCGAUGGUCCACAAGCCGCACAAAGUGACGUCACCGCCGCUGGCCGCUGCGAUGUUCUACGGCCAACAUGGCUGGUCGAUUUCUCCGAUAAUUAGCCGUCGACCGGAGGUAGGACGCAUCUCCACGGAGGUCAUCCAUGCCACAACAAUACCUCCGCCGGUGCAGCUCAACGACCCCGCUGCCGCCGCCGCCGCCGCCGCUGCUGAAAUGAUUCAAGAGGUUGGUGGUAAUCAUCUGAACAGUAGGCGAGAGAAGUUGCCUAAGCUUGACUUGUCCCUCAAGCUCUAGCGCUGUUGUCUCUCUCUCUGCCUCUCUCUGGGAAUGGGAAUGCUCCUAAUUUUCAGUCGGCUUAUGCAAUCAAUCUUAUAGCUUUAAUUAGUCCCCUUCUUUUGGAUUCUGACUUGUUGAUACAAGAUUUGAAGUUGAACUCACUGCUAAUCUGGAACUUAGAAUUGAAUAAUAAUAUAUCAAGCAAAAAUCGUAAUAUUGAUGUUUUAACCUUAUCACUUCAAAUCCGGAGAUCUAAAUUAUCAGUGUCUUAUACAUCUUUAUUUGGUUUAUCUUAAUAUCACAAUCUUCAGGUCAUGGACUAUAUGAUCAUAUGAAGUGGUUGGCUCUGUGUUGCCUCUCCUCUUUUGACUUGCUUGCAAGCAUUACCCCCAUUGCUUUACGUGUAGACUGUUCUUUUGAUCACUUCCUACAUGUAAAAGAAGGCAAAAGCACAAUUUAACAGAGCUAUAUCAUCUCUUUCUCGAGUAUUCGAUCAAUAUACACUAUCAAAAUACUUAGAGCAACAUGGAAAUAAAAUGUUUGUGACUCAAUUCCUUUUAUUCCUUUCUCUGCUGUCUCCCUGUCAGUGCUUCCACAUGCAAAACCUCAAGUCCAAUCUUUAACCCAUAAAUGAAAUGUUCUUCAAAGUGUGUGAGGGCAGAAAAUUUACCUACAGAAAGAACUGGUCCAAUAGUCUCCAUCAACCAGUGAAGCCAAAAGCAAUGUUGAGUAUUCUUAAUGUCAUUAUUUCAGCAAAGGUGAUGCAACAAAUACAGGACAAGAUACAUGUCAACCAUCAAGAUGAAACAAAGAAAUGGGGGGCCAGUGAUGCAUCUGGAUGCUCCUUUUUCCACGCUAGUGCUUUCACCAAAUAAUAUGCUAAUAGGAUAUCAUGUAGAUAUGAUUUCAUGGGACAUGUAAUCAAAGUAUGAGGGGCCUAUCAGCUGAUCAGCAUCCACCUGUGAUGUGAUCUCCACAUUCUCAGUGACAUAAAUGGCCAACGUAUGGAUGCUAAAGUGCUUUGGAUUCCACUUGAACAACUCAAUCCAAAGAGAGAAAGUCUUCUGAUGGAACACAAACAGGUGCUCUGUUUUCUUUUCUUAAAGCUUUUGGAGGUUUGAUGGCAUAGAAAAGGACAUUGUGCAAUGGUCAUGAUUAGGUUUAGGAACCAAAAAUGAAGAUUUGUAUGAUGUUAAUAUCUAAGAGAUUAGAUAUGAUGGGACCCAAGAGACUUCCAUGGAUAGAGUAAUACCUACCAAUGAGACUAGUUCAACAAAAAGUGGGUGUUUACUGAGUCUGAGAUCCAGGUUUUAUGGGUGCCAACUCAAACAUGAAAGAAAGAAAGAGACCUGUUCAAAUCAUUCAUUGAGGCCUUGACCACUCCUCUAUGAUUCCACAUCACCUACUAAGAAGAAGUGAUAUUAAAAAAGAAGAAAAAAAACCUAGUUUUGCUAGGAAAAAAAAUCUCAUCAUGAAUGGUGUACCUUUAAAUCCUUUUGCCAAUCUUGAAACAUAUACUACCAUGAAAGUGACAUGCUCUAGAAUUCUGAUAAUAGUGGUGACAUCAUCUGAUUGCAGUGGCAUCCUUUCUCUAUCUUUGUAAUCCAUGUUUGUGCUCAACAUCUACAAAUCAGAAAAGAAAGGGGAAGAGAAUAAAGCUUUUAUAUAGGAAAUUAAUGUUAAGUUCCCAAGGUGGCCAUGUUCUACCAACUAGCAUCACUUUUGGGCCCUUCUUAAUCAUGAAUUAUUUACAGGUGCCACAGACGCAAACAAAUGGUGAGAAUGUGGCAUUUCUGUUCUACAUUUGUUGCACCUGGGACCUUGCAACUCUUUCCUUGCUUUGCAAGUCUUGAUUCCAUAUGAAUGAAUGUUCUUUGUUUUGCAAACAUGUAGGAUUUCUUUGUUUUACUGUCAGCUUAACAAGGAGUGGUUUAAACUAGGAAUGCUGGAGAACUUGUGCAAAAAAAAUCAUUCAGCCUAGAAGUAGGUUUGGUGCUCUUUAUCAGUCUAUUUCUUGUGUACAUCAGCAGCAGCAUUUAGGUUGUUUUGCCUGUAUCCAUACCAUUAUACAAAGAGUCAUAUACAGUUCAUAUGUAAUUCUGCUAUCAAUUUCUUCAAACAACAUUAGUAGUUUGACCUGUGUUUCCUUGGAGAACACAAAUGAUUAGUGACCUGUUGUUUGACUUUGGAAAUUGGUUCAUCUUAUUCUUAAACUCAAUAUUAUGAUCUUCUUCCAGUAGAAAAGGCAUCAUAGAACUUCAAUGACCAGAGGAUCAGCAUUGAUAUUUCUGAUUCAUCAUUAGUUCUUGGCAGGUUUAGUUUGGUGAAAGCCUUCCAUGACACUGUUCUUUCAAAUUCUUCAUCUAUAUAUGUCAUUUGAUCUUGGGAAACACUUUAGUUUACUGAUAUGGAACUUUGUCAAGUUGUGUAUGACUCCUGUUUUCAUCUCAAUCAUUCCUCAACAGGGUGACAUAGCACAUCAAAUCAUGUUCUCUGCCACCAUCUUUUGAAACAUGAUUCUGAUGAACAUUUAAACUUGGUCUGUGAAAUCUGAUAAACUUUCAGAAGAAUUCCUAUCACAAUCUGCAAAAAUGCUCAACAAAAUGAUGGCAUGGCUUUGUAGUCAGUGACCCCACAAAUGAUGGAUGGAAAUUUUGAUGAAAGAAAAAAGUGAGAAAAAUAAGAUUAAAAAGAAAAGAAUUGGGUGGAAAAGAAAACUUCAGCUUCUUUUUUGUUCUUCAUUGUCAGUGAUAAGAUCUUGAGGUGUUCCAAGGCAUGGCAUGAGCUAUGAAACUAAAAGAAGAGUGUGCUGAUGUGAGUAGUUCAUCAAUCAAUUAAUUCCUCCUUUCUUCAUCUGUUAGCACACUGCAGUGUCUCAAACACACACAUAUAUAGGAUUAAGCUCUCUAUGAUAAGAUAAUUAGUUUCUUUAGAAGUGAUAUAGAAUCUUUAAUAAGCACAGAGGAAAAAAAAACAUGUUUGAUGCUUUCUAAAUAGUAUUUAAAUCAGAUAAAAAAUAAUUAUUAUUUUUGAUGUAGAACAAAAUAAUUAUUCUGAUACUAAAAAAUGCUUGGUAUGUGUUAGAGAAGUGUUUCGAUACCUGCUCAAUCGAUACCCACUUCCAUACACACCUCCAUAUGAGACCUGACCGACGUACGUGUCCGAGUAUUAAUGAGUGGAGCCCGGUGACGCAUACGGGCUAUCUUGCUCGUGGUUUACUGACAACAGCAACUGGGCAAUGGAUUCUCCCUUCGCUCGUUGCGAGGGGAAUCUGUGACCCCAAUUCCGAUUUCCUCACCUUCUCCCGUCUCAAUUGCAUCGGAUCAACCAUUAAACCAUCGAAAUUUGGUGUUUUUCUUUGAUCCCUCUUCGACUUGGGCGCUGAUUCACCCACUUUGGGUGGAAUUUCCAGAGAUUUCGGUCAUAGAAGUCGUCUCAAUCUCGGCGGCGUUUGUUCUUACAAUCACUUCUAUCAUUUCGAUGUCUCUAGAAGAUAAUUCAGUUUUCUGGUGUUUUUCCCUUUCGAUUUGAUUUGCUCGGGUUUUAUGUCAAAGAUCGUGAAUCUCUUGAUUUCUCUCAGAAUUGUCUUAAAUCUCAAAUUUUAGUAGGAGAUCUGCGUUUAUGAUCAUUGAAUGUUGGAUGGAUUGGCUAUUGUCUAGAUUCUGGCUGUCUUUAGAGGUUUUUUGAUGCUUGGUCUAUCGGUGGGUUUCAUGCUAACAUGAAAAACCAGUCAUUUGGGUCAGGAAGCCCCAAAUCCUAUCAUGGCUACCCCAGGGGUGACUUCGAUUUGGAAUCCGGAAGCUUUCGCAAGAGCUUCCGAAAGCCUAAGAACUCAUCACGAAUUGGUCCCAUCAGGAUGAUGAAUUCCAUUGCCAACCGCAUUCAUUAUUUUUACAAGCUUCAUCCUGUUGCAGUCUUUCUUUCCUCCUUGGCCUUUGGUGUGGCCAUUCUGAUAGUGCUUUCGAUGUACGAAAGCCGAAUUAGAAUGAUGGGUUUCCGGAGGGACGGUGACUUGAGUUCGGGUUCUUAUCCAUUGGCAAAUCUCCGUAAUCUUGUGAUGGUUGCUGGGCAUUCAAUCUAUACGAGCACUAGCUGUGGGAAGAUUGACAGUGAGGAUUCGUGGUUUCUGGAACCGUAUCAGAAGAACCCUGGGCAAGCAGCUACUUUCUUGGCACAUAUACAGGAGGGAGUGGAGAGUGCAGCUAAGGAUGAGGGAGCACUGCUCUUGUUCAGCGGUGGGGAAACUCGGAAGGAUGCUGGCCCUCGUAGUGAAGCACAGAGCUAUUGGGCUGUUGCAGAAUCCAAAGGAUGGUUUGGUAUACUACUCACUUGUGUCUUUGAUACUACCAGUUGGCGUGCAGUUGUCUUCUGCUUACUAUCUGUAAAUGGACAAGUUUCUGUGCUUGAUAAAUUGGGGUAAUAUUCAUUAGGUAUAAAACUUUUUUGGGCAGACUCAUUUAUGUGUCUCUUUGUUCUGUCACCUUAACACCAUUUACAUUUCAACUGCCAAAAAAUCUGCCAGUACCAGUGCGCUAAAUGACUAGAAACUGUUUUCACAAUGUUAAUGUAGUUCAAUUUUAUCCUCUCAUUCAUGCAUAUGCAUGAUUUCCAAGUUGAAAAAUGGAUCUUUAGUGUGCAGUUUUAGAUAAGAGUUGUCGAGGUAAGGUCGUACGCAUUGAUUUUCCUCUGACCCCUUAUUGGCAUGGUCCUUAUUCACUGAGUUUGUCCAGAAAAUUGUUCUGCAAUUCCAAAAUGUAUAAUGAAUAUAUUUAGUAAUCUUUGUCAUGAUGUAUACUGCGGUAUGAUUAGCUAGGGAAAAUUAGUUGCUGGUUAAGAUUGAAGGCAAAAGGGUGAAUCCACAUGCUGAUGUAAUAAUACUCUAGGUCCUCACAAAGAUAUAGUGUAGGGAUUUUGUCUCUUACUGUUCUGAAAGCCCAUCUUUUACAUGCCAUCUAUGUAUAUUUCUUUAUUAUUACAAGAGAUAACAUACUAAAGUAAUUAAAACUUCAAUUUACUUGUUUGUUGAUUAACCAGCUAGUUUGAUGUUAAAUUUAGAUAAACUUUCAAUGCUUAAUUCAUGUCUGAGAAUCGUGGUUCCUUUUCAUAUUCAUUCCAAUUUGCCGCUUUGUUCAUGUUGUUCUAUGUUCUAUUCUUAGUGGUGGUUUUAGUUUUGCAUAUUUCUGUAUGUUGAUGAAUAUUGCCAGUUAUUGUACUCAGCAGGAAAUAAUUUUAUUUUUUUGGUAUUUGUUUUAUACCUCAUUUAGCUAUCAUAUAGCUUGUGCUCCAUAUUUGACUGUCCUUUCAUGGUGAAGGAAAUUGUCUGUUUUGUUUUCUCUUCAUAACUGAAGCAACACUUUAUAUAGUUUUUUGUGUUUUUUACAUUCACUUUCCUGCUUCAUCCAUAAAAUUGAAGCUUCAAACUCAGUUCCAAGAGUUGGACAUUGGAAUCCUGUUGGAAAAAGAUAAACACAAAUGUUCUCAAAGUUUUCCCGUUUUAAUGUCUGAGGUCUUAUGAUGUUUGAUUACAUAAUUUCAACAUGUAUAUAACCUCCAUAAAAGAGGCCAUAAAAACCAUAUGCUGUCUGGACACUUGCUGAAUCCACCCUUGUAUUCUGCAUUGUUAAAUCUUGAACUCUAUUUUACUGAGAAGGUGCAUCAUUUCUUGUUUUAACAGGAAAGCAAGAUAAUAUCAGGAGUAGAGCGCACACAGAGGAGCAUGCAAGAGAUAGCUUUGAGAACCUUCUUUUUAGUGUUUGUCGUUUUCGCGAACUUACAGGCAGUUAUCCUCAAAAUAUUACUGUGAGCUUCUAUUGUUUUGCAAUUAUCAUUAGGUUCAUUUUGUGUGUGCUUGUGUGUCAUGCACAUACAGUUUGGAUAUUUUGUGUUUCCUUUUUCUUCUCCACAGGUUUGAUUGGGUUGGGAAGCGUGUCAGCUAACGAAACAUGUUUUGCUUUCUACUAAUCUUUAUACAUUCUUUUAAAAGAGAGAAAUCUGAACAUAAUAGUUGUCCUCUAGGGAUGUUUGUUGUCACAGGGGCAUGCAUUUCUCUUAUUAUGACAUGGCACAAUUAUGUGCAGUACCAGUUGGCAUGCUUCUAGGCCGACUUGCACAAGCCAUCAAUUGGGCAAAUGAAAUAUCUGCAGCACCUCUAACUUGGGAUGUGAUGACAUGUGCUGAUACCUUUCUUGCAUGGGACAUUUUGAUUCAACUAAUUCACACAACAAUCCUUGCUUCAGGGUUUGUCUACAGCUCAACAAUUACAUGAGUUCCUGUUCAUCUCUUGAGCUUUUAGUCGUUUCUUUCGUUAGUUCUAGGUCACAUUUACUAGUUUUACUUAAUUGAAUUUCACCCAAUUCUUAGAGUAGCUAUAUAAUCUUUAGAUCUCUUUCUUAGCUCUUAGAAAAGAAGUUGUAGUUAUUGUGCAUUUACAAUAUUUUAAACUGGUACAUAGCAAAGGAAAUGAAAGCCAAAUAGAGGAUUCGCUUGGAAAGAAGCUUGACACUGAAAUUUGUUGAUUCAUUAUCAAGGUUUAAAUGGACGUAAAACAAUGUGUCACAUGUAUAAAUGAUAUAGAAGAUUAUCUUAAUGCAUUGGAGUGCUUCAUUCUAAGCUUAAGGUUUGCAAAUUAAUGAUUAUGCAAAAGCAUUUGUUUCCAUCAGGUGCCAUUUAAUGUUAUAUUUUCUUGCCUAAAUUACUCUGAAAUGGCAAGUACCUUAUUGAGUAAAUAGUCUAACUAAGAAACAUGGAUGCAUCGAAGCACUCGCUAUGUAUGUUAUGGAUAUAUGUCAGAUUCUUUCUAGGAUAUUGAGUUUUCUAGAUAUGUCUCAGAUGCUUCAACAAAAUAUUUCUCUGUUAAGUAGCCACUAAAUGAUCUCAUGCUUUUGGGAUUGUGGAUUUUUUUUGUGAGAAGUUGAUUUCUUGAAUGAAGAAAUAUUUUUAAGUUAGAUGAUAUGGAUAUAUGGAAAUAUUUAUAUAUAUUUUUAUGUUGUGUUGUUAAACUUCAAAUUAUGAUUCAUAAACGUAAACAAUAAUUAUCAUUGCCAUAAGUCAUUGUGAUACUUGUGUUCUUGAAUGACUUCAUUACUGCUAGAAUCUCUUUCUGAGGAAUAAGCUUUCUGAGGAAUAGGUGAGGAUCCUAGUAUUACUUAUUAUUAGAAAAUGUAGUUAUAGUAGCAUUUCAAUGGUUAGUGCAUUGAUGCACAAGCGAUAGUGUCAAGUUUGAGUCCACGUGUGAUUGUUGUAGAAGACAUUUAAUGAAAUUUCUUCUUAGUUUUUUUUAUAAAAGAUGAUGUAGUUAUAUAUAUGUCCAUGUAAAUAUGUACCAAAUGAAUUAAAUAUUAUUAUCAUAUUGACUAUUGAUGACAUAUUGUAUUGUAUGGAUAUCCCAGAUAUGCUACAUAGCUGCCCAAUUAUGAGAUCUAAAUGGUUUUUAUUCAUUUUCCAUUAGUGUCAAGCUUGUUUAGUACUUUCUUAUGUGAACAUUUGUCUUACCAAACAAAGUUCAUGGAUCUAGGUGCUGAUAUGAUAUAAUCAUUAUCUGAAAUCUUGAACUUGUAAACUAGUCUCCUUGCGCCAGUCUUGUUUCCAUGGUCUUGAGCAUUCACCGACCCUCACCUACUAACUCUUUUGAGUCUUAUUGCACAGCUUUUGUAAUCGGGUGCAACUUUUUAACCUUGUCCGAUUGUACUAUUCUACCUUAUUUGAUCAAGUUACCAAUGUUUACCUUGCUUUUUUGUCCGGCUCACACCAUGGUGUGUUGUUUUGUGUUCAUCAUGGAUUACUAAUGAACUCCAUUUGUUUUAAAUGCUGGUGUCAGGUUGUAAGCUAUGACUUCAAGAAAGAAAGGUUCGCUCAUUUGCACCGUUUAGCAAUAGGAUUCCCGGAAGAGAGGUUCUUCUACACCGGUACUCCUGCUGCUCCGGGCGCAAAGGAGGCAGCGGAGAAAGGUGAGGCCUUUGUCCGGGCCCAGUUUCAAGAAGACCCUUAUGGAUGUUUGGGUUCACUUCACAGGAAGAGACUAAAGAGAGAUCCAUUUCACCGGUUUAUCCCUUAUCCUAAUGGCUGCCCUGAAUUGAAAAGCUUAUUCGACUACUGCGGUCCAGUUCCUUAUCCCGGCACACUUCCUUGGAUCCGGUAGUCUCAAGUUCAGAUCGUGAAAUCCAAUCUAUAGCCUGGAACAUGUACAAUGAAAUAUAAUAUCAUCCUCUUUGGACUUUUCAUGCGUUACAAAGGUUUUGCAGCAAGUUUAUUACCAAAAAGGAAUGUCUCAGAAUAUUCAACUUUUUUGUAAUAUUACUGUAUGAAUAUGUGCUCACUGAUCCACAAUGUCAAAUUCAAUGUUCUGCACUCGUCAUGUUAGACAUAAUGUCUGUGAGGGAUUUGGACAGCAUGCCAAGGUUAUUGCUUAUAUAUCAUUUCCGAUAUUUAAAUCUCCGUAUGUAUCACUCUUUUUAGCAUCAUUCAAUAACUUCAGUUUAAUCAUUAUCAACUGUUAUUAUUAAUGAACAUAAUAAACACACAUAUAUAAUGUUUAUGAUGAGAACAUCUAUUGAGAUCCGCAAAGGUGCCAAUUACUAAGAUAAUGUUUUUGAGCAAGCUUUGUUGAAGUCUCUGAAAUCAACACAAAGAGAAAACUUGUACAUUCUUCACCCGUGACAAAGUGAAAAGGUUCCGAGGUUGGAGAAAACAAUUUAUUCCCUUCGUUUUCAAGCAUAUAGACAGACAGACACACUCAAAUGCGAUCGUUUGAUUCUCGUGCAGUGUUCUUAAGCAACUUAUGCUUGAGGUUGCCAAUUCAAAAGCAACAUAUGAAAGAAUCAAACGUGAAGCUGCUUUCUAGCUUUAUUAGCUGGCCUUGAUAGUUCAUAGGCAAAGCAGCUGCAAUGAGCAUAGAUGGGAAGAAGACAAGGACAACAUGGUUUUUAACUAGCUAACAAUGCAUUAGCUACUGUGUCUUAGUCUUUAACUCAAGGUUAGGAGAGAGAUGGUGUCAUCUCAUGCUACUUUGUGUCACUAACCAACAUCAUUUUCCACUCCACUAAACACAACCUCAAGUGCAUGAUUGGUCUCUAAUCAUUGAGAGAGAAGUGAAGUUGCAGCUAACCUAAAGCCAAAGUAGAUGUUUUUGGUACCACCUGCUCUCUAAGGUCAGUUGAUCCAUCCAAGUUCUACAGAACCUAUAAAACUAAUCUGAGUUAGGGAAGAAGCUUUUCUCCCAGUGACUCAGUUGGGUUAGGUUCUGUGGGUGGGUGAAAGGUUGGUGAAGUCAUGUGGAGAGUCUGCAAUGUCUUGUCAUCAGCUUCAACUCUUUAUGUAGCUACAUUUUGAUUGACAAAAGUAGGUUCUACAAGUGUAGCUAACAUAUUUUUGUGUAUUUAUGUAAAUGGUUUAAAUCAAAACAAGGUUUUGCUUUAAGAAAGUUAACAAUCUUACAUCAAACAGGUAUAGAAGUUUUAAUAUAAAAAAAGUGGAAUAUAUCUCAAAAAAUUGCAUAAUGUCAUUCCUAAAAAAUAUACUAAUCAACUUCUCUAAAGAUAAAAGGAGUGUAAAAUUGAAGCUAUGUUUGUGUAAUAUAUCUUUCACUGAAAUGUGGAACAAUUAUUUUCAGACCAAUUCUCAGAAUUAUUUUCAGACCUAAAAUAUCUUUAAUAGAAGUUUCAGUGGUUGAGUUUGAAAAAUAAUUGUGAUGGAUGAUGGAAUUUAUUUUCUUUUCUUUUCUUUUUAAUGCAAGUAUAUUAGAGUCACAUAAUUAUUCCUGAUAAUAUAUUAUAAAUCUUGAAGCCCAUAACUCUUGUUAGAACCUAAUUAAUAUAUACUAAGUCUUAAGCCUUUAAGAUUACUGGUCACUGAUUCCCAAUAUUUAUCAUGUCAUGAGUUUGAAAUAUGUUUUUUUUUUAUAUUCAUUUCAGUGUUUAAUUAAAAAUAUUUGCAGUUGGAUUUAUAUCAACUAAAUAUGUAUUGGGUUUAAAUUCUUAGGAUUGUUGGUCACCCACCAUUCAAUUUUUUAUUACCUCAAAUUGGAACAUCAUUAAUAUGAUAAAUAAUGGUGAAUCUAAGAACACUAAGUUUUGAUGCCAUUGUUAAAAGUGGUAGACAAUCUUAGAUCUUACUUGGCUGUCAAUAUGAUGUGCCUUUAACUCUUUGGGGGAUCCAAUUCAUUCCUGUCAUGAUGGGACAUUUAUUGCAUCCACUUCAAACUACUCUCUCUCUUUUUUUUUUUUACCCUUGGUUGAGUUAAAUCCAUCACUGUUCAUUAAAUGCAUCUUUGCAACAUUUCAAGUUACAUGAAAAUUUACAAUAAGAAUAAUUUUAUGAUAUGACACAUAUGAUCUAUAUUUUCAAUCAUUUAACUAUCUAUAACACAUUCAUACUAUAUAUUUAUUUAGUUAAAACUUACAUAUAUAUAGUGAUUUUAAGCUACAUUUGUUAGCAAGAAUUCAAACCUGGUAUGAUUUUAUAACAUCUAUAAAGGUAUGAGUAAAUUAUCAUUAUUAUUAUCAUUCUAUGAAGAUAUUUGAAUUUGAGAUCAUGCAAAUAGACAUCUCAAUGACUAUAAAAGAUUUAUGAUCUCAACUUUAAUAAUUAAAGUUUUAUGAUCUGUUAUAUUACCUAAACAAAUAAAAACUAAAGAACUUAUAAGCUUAAACAGAUUAUUAUGACAAAGAGACCAAAGUACAUAAGUAAAAAAAUAAUAAUAAUAAUAUAUUUUAAUCACACUAUUCUAGAUGAUACCCACUUUUGAAAACCCAACCACUCAUAUCCAAAUAGUACCACAAGAAACAAUCAACAGUACCUUAGAAAUAAAAAAACAAGAAAAAUGAGGCAUGACUUAAAAACAAAGCUAAAAAAGAACAUAUUUACCUAACUAAAUUUAAUUUCUAACUCAAAACAAGUUUCUUAGCCAUUGCUAAAGGUCCACAUGGUAUAUAACUCCUAACUCUUUCAGAUCCAUCUUCUCUGUCCUAUUAUCUUUAUUCCACACCAAAAGGGACCACAGAGGAGAUGAGAUGAUGAUGAUGAUGAUCCCACACCUUUAACACCCAUUUAUUUGCAUUUAUUCAAGAAAUUGGUCAGACAUUGGUGAGUGACAUGAUUCCAGCUUCAUUUUUGUGGUUGUGCUGCAUCUGAACCUUCAUCAAUGGUCAUCUCCAAGAAGGAAAAAAGAUUGGAGAUGUAACAGUGGGUGACAACAGUGAAUACAGGUUGGACUGCAAGCAAGCAGGUCUUUGAUGUGGGACUUCAACCUGAUCUUUGACUGACACUUUGCAGUGCUUGUCAUGUGAGGCAGUGCCAGCAAACUCCACCUAAUGGCCCAAAGAGAUGAGCUCAGGAGUGAGGUCAUGUGCCAGUGGUACAUUGACCUCAGUAAAUUUUUUGGCCACUCUGUACAUUGACCUCAUUUGCCACUCUAGUUGGGGCAAUUUUUUGGCCUGUCUGCAUCUGCAGAUGCUGCAGCCAUGGAGGCAUUUGCUGGACCAGUACAUGAAGAUCUGCCUCUUCAUUGGCAGAGAGACAUACAAGACCCAUCAUACUUUCUCCUUCCUACAAACCUACCCAUAUGAUCACUUACCAUUGACAGAGAGACAUAAGACCCAUCAUACUUUCUCCUUCCUNNNNNNNNNNNNNNNNNNNNUGAUCACUCACCACUUGUACAGAGAGACAUAUACGACCCAUCAUACUUUCUCCUUCCUCCAAAACCUACCCAUAUGAUCACUCACCAUUGACAGAGAGACAUAUAAGACCCAUCAUACUCUCUCCUUCCUCCAAAACCUACCCAUAUGAUCACUCACCAUUGACAGAGAGACAUAUUAGACCCAUCAUACUUUCUCCUUCCUCCAAAACCUACCCAUAUGAUCACUCUCCAUUGAUAGAGAGACACAUAAGACCCAUCAUACUUUCUCCUUCCUCCAACACCUGCCCAUAUGAUCAUAUGACAUGUGAAACUAAUAAAGAUUAAACUAUUAGAAAGGACUUCAUUUGUAUCAAACUUUAAUGUUUCCUCUCACAAUUAUGAUACAAACUUGAUUCCAAAUGCAUGAUGCAAUCAAAAAAGACAAUUUAAGUAUAUAAUAAAUACAUGUCAAUUUGGAAAAAAAAAAUAUUAUACAAAUACUAGUUAGAAAUUAGAUGAAAUAGAAAGAGAUAGAUACAUGACUUUGAACUCACAGCAUGUUUUGACAUCAUGAUGAAGAAUUCAUAUUAUAUAAUCAUUAACUUGAAAAGUUUAAACUAUCAAUUUUGUUAACAUCAAUACUCAAGUUUUACUUUGGUGAUUUUUUUCACUGUUGAUCAUAAAUCACCUUUUUUUUUCUUUUUAGUUUUGUAGUAGAGAAAAGACACAUUUCUUUUUCUAAAUGAUAAUUCUAGUUUAAAAAAGUGAGAAUUGAUGGAAAACCAAUAAAAAAAAGGUGAGAAUUGGCACUUCAAAAAGUGAGAUUUUGAUAGAAUACCAAAAAGGGUCUUUCUGUGAUUUACAAAAAAAAAAUUCUUCCAAUAAAGGAUGAUAUUUUAUUAUUUAUAAUUGUAUACUAAAAAGGAUGAUUGUUCGAAAAUAUAUCCUCUUUUUAAGUUUUUCCUUGGAUGAUAACAUCAUUUUUAUUCAUAAAACACUAUAUAGUAUUUUUAAAUAUUAUAUAGUUUUUAUUUCAAAAAUAAUGUGACAUCAAAAAUACUAUAUAGUGUUUUUAAAAUAAAAUAUUUUAUAAUACUUUAAAAAAAUACUAUACAGUCUUUUACGGAUAAAAAAUAAUCCAUAAAAUACUAUAAAUAGUUUAUUUAAAAAAAAUAAAUUUAGGCAAAAAAAGAUAGAUUUUUAAAAAUAACUAAAAUAGGGAAUGAUUGUUUUAAAUUUUGUUUAAAAAAUAGUAUAAUUCGGAAAAUAAAAAAAAAUAAAAAAGGGGUAAAUUACCCCACCCUCCCCCCUAAAAGAGGACAUUAGCAUUUUACCCAACACACAUCCCAUCACAACCCUUCCUCGAGCACAAGCUUUGUCUGAGACUUCCACCCAACCACACCCCCUUCACCCACUCCCCAACACACACAGACACACCCAUCUUCUCGACGAGCACACCAACCUGUCACGCUUCUCUCACAUCAACAUCAUCUCAAUUGCUUACUUCGUCUCCAUGUCCAGUGUCUCCUCCUCUUUUGCUAAAGAAAAAGAAAAAGAAAAAGAAAGCAAAAAAAAAAAGAUGAAAUUUUUGGGACAUUGUUAAUGCUUUGGGUCGCCGUCUUGCAAUGCGAAGCAACAUUGGUCAUCAUUCCGUGCUUUAGUCCAGUAAUUAAUCCUCUUUCCCAUUAUAAAAAUCGUUCCUUUUGGAUAAUCUCUCCCUCCCUUGUUCUUGGCCUUGGCUUCAGGUGUUCGAUGCUGCAUCCUUCCUGCCACCUGGAUAACAGUGGGAAUCAACUUUUGAUCAUUUUCCAUGCGUUAUUCCGGUGUUUAAUCCUCUUUUCCCUGGUAAAAAUCCUUCCUUUUGUGCAAAGUCCAUCCAUCCCUCCGUUGUUCUUUGCCUCUGCCCGGCUUGAGGUGCCACUACUUGGAUUCUCUUCCCUGCCCUCCUCUGUUUACAGCCUCCUGGUUUCACUCCCAGUUGCUUUGUCGUGUUUGCCAUCUCUGUCCGUCAAUUGGUUGGUGGCCUCCUUCCUUCGUUGUUAUCCGUUCCUUUCUGCCUCGCUCUUGGCCAUUUCUUCAAGCAUUGUUCUGCUCACGCCUGCUCUUUUCGUAGGGUGAUCUUGCUUUAAAGGACGCUUCGUCUUUUGACGGCCGCCUUUCUUGGCAGUAGGUAAUUCCACUUUGUUGGAGUGGUUCUUUUUCGCCAAGAUUUGGUUUUUUGAUUUCGGGGGGAGUGGAAGCGUCGAUGGCAGCCGUAAAGAUUUGAUUUUUUAUUUCGCUCUUGUGUGUGCUCCCAGAUGGGAUUGGAUUCUUGGGUUGGUCGAGAGCAGAUGAUGCCAUUGCUUGCGGUUGCCGGAUAGAGAUGCGAGGGGUUGUGGGCGCCGCCGGUGGCGGCCACGUCGAGGCCAGGCAUCGAUCCGUCGGGAGUCCGUGAGUGUCUCUGUUCUUGAAACUUCUUACGAUUAUAUCACAUGAAUUCCUUGUCCUGCUGUUCAUCUGUUCUUCCCUCUUCUUCCAUUUUUCUAGUGAUGAUUAGCUAAAGAUGUAUUGAUGUCUCAAAAAAAAAAGUGUCCAGGAUACCAUUCUGACGGCUUUUCUGUUAUAGGAUAGAAAUUGGAGCUCAAAUACCAUUCAAGAACUAAAAGUGACCAUGACGAUGAAUGCACGGUUUUUAUGAAUCUUUGUUUGUCAUAGUUCCUUGGUAGAAGCUUCACAGCUCCUAUCCAGAGCUCUCGGAUUUGUCCAAUUAAUCUGAACAAAGGUUGGAGCCGAAGGUUCUGAAGCAAGAAGUCUUAUCUAUGUCUCAAUCAUAUCUUCCAUAAAUUAAUACCAUAUGGUGUUUGAAACCUGUUCUUAGGCUGCUUUUCUAGUUGCUAAGUCAUUAUCUUUUUGAUGUGGGUCUUGCAGAUCUCUAGCCUCACAUGUUUUCUAGUUUCCUAGCAUCAUUGCCUAUUACCGGAUCUAGAUUCCCUUUCUUAGCUGCUGAAGACAACCCUAUAGUUCAAGUUAAUAGCAGACUUUUGGAGGCUGAUCGAGUCCUGUUAUCGAUGGGAAUCUUGCUAAUGUUUUUCUGAUCAGGCAAUCUGGAGUGAAUUAUAUAGUCUUAUUAACUAUGAGGGUUCCAAAUAGAUCAACUAAAAUAGCAACUAUUAAUGCAUCUUUGGCUUACUGUUUCUUGCCUCCUAUACUUUUCUGACAUCAGAUUGAAUUUUUUCUGUUUCCAAUUCUGGAAUAAUUUCAAUAGAGACUUUAGAUAGCAGGAAUGAACUGCCUAAAAGUUGAAAGUCCCUACUAGAACAUCAAAUCAACUAAAAAGAUUCAUCUUCAUCAAACUUAUAAUAAUCUGGCUGUAACUGCAUCCAACCUUGUCAAUGGUUGAAGCUAGCCCUCCACAAUCCAAGUUGAGAGCACACUUUUGAAAUUCUCUGAGUCUCUUUAUGAUAGGGAAUCUACAUAAUGUUUGCUGAUAGGCAAAACUGAGUUUAAUUUUAUAGUCCUAGACAACUGAGGGCACACUUAGUAUCUUCUCAAAAGAAAAAUAGAAAAGGUGCUGAUUUAUAUCUUUCAGCCUAAUGUUGUUGCCUCCUAAAUUUUUUUCACAUCAGAUCUAAUUUUGUUAUCAUCAUUUCUGGGAUAAUUUGGCUCAAGACCUGGAUGGGAGGAACAUAUAUGUGGAUAAGAUGUGGAACUAAUCAGAUGUUAUAGAAUAUCAAGUCGUAAAAAUAUAUUACUCAUCCUCAAACUGAUCAUAUUUAGAUGUUUGCAUGACAGAACACGGCAUUGUACUUACGAGUCUGAAAACUAUCACCUUAGCGUUGCAAGUGUUGAUCUCUUUGGUCUAUUGCGUCCUCAUCAUCAAGUCAUUUACUAAACAGCAAAUUUAGUGCUUUCUGAAACUUCUUUCUUAGUCUCAGCAGUUCCAUUUGGAAAGGUACUCUCCAUAUUUUGGAUGAUUUAAAAGCAAUUAAGUUUUAGAAAGCAGCAUCUUACAUAAAGUUGAUGUUGACCUUGUGUCUGUGGCUUUGAUCGAGUGUACCUCUUGCAAUGAACUUCUGAAAGUGGGACAAUAUUAUCAUUGCAGUUAGAAAAGAGUAAUCAGUAAGUCUCCCUAGUGGCUGAAACUAUGAACAAUGAUGGGAACUUGCAGAGUAGGAAAGCUAUGUCAUCAUGACAAACUACACCCUUUAUCAACAGACAUGAUAUUGGUAUUGGAGACCUACAUUUGACAUGGACGGUACCAGAUUUUAGCUUCUGUUAACAAAGUUGCGUAACAUUUCUUCUUAUCGUAUCAUACAUGCUUUGCUGGUAUCUCCAGCUUCUCUAAUUUAAUGUCUUCUAAUUCUAUAUUGAACAAUUAGUUUUUUUAAUCUUACCUAAUUUAGUAUCUGAUUUAUUGUUCUGAUUUACCCAUGUGGUCUUCCAUCCUGAUUUAGUGUUUACGGAAACAAAAGAAGGUCCCACAAGAGCAGUGACUUCAAACAAGCUGACAGGCCAUUCAACAAUCUUUUUACAGAGAGGAGUUCAGCCUGGAAGAUAUAUUCUUUGAAACUUGUCUUGAUAAUCAUUGUCUGUGGCACCUUUUUAACUCUUCUCCACCCUCCAGCAGCUUAUCAUAAUGAGCAUUCCUUGCAUGCUGGUUCUAGGUAAGUGCCUUCUGCCACUCUUCCUUUUCUUGCUGGAUUUUAAUCAUUAGACAUGCCUGAUGCUUAUUUUUAAGAACUGAUGAACAUGGUCCAUUUGCUUUAACUAUGAUUUGCUGGAAUCUAACUUAUUCCUGUCAAAUCUGCCACUGCUGAUCCAGGUUUAUGGAUGUUGGACGGAUUUGGGACAAAUCCAAACCUGAUUCGCGAUAUUUGUCGAAUUCAAAUGUUGAUUGGGCUCAAAUUUCAAAAUGUGCGGAAGCGAUGGACUCCAGUAAAGGAAAUAUGAAGAUUGGCUUACUAAAUUUUAACAUUUCUGAGAUCAACCAUUGGCACCAGCUCUUACCAAACGCAGGAUUUUCUGUCAUACAACUUGAUUAUGCAGAUAGUAAUAUUACUUGGGAUGUACUGUAUCCUGAAUGGAUUGACGAGGAAGAAGAAUCCGAGGUCCCCUCUUGUCCAAAACUUCCAGAACCGAAGUUCUCUAAAGGUUUCCGUUUUGACCUCAUCGCCGUCAAGCUUCCUUGCAGUAGCUCAGCCAGCUGGUCAAGAGAUGUUGCUCGGUUGCAUUUGCAGCUUACAGCUGCUAAGGUUGCUGCAGUUUCUUCAGGAGAUCAGUACCCUGUGCAUGUGCUUUUUGUGACCAGCUGUUUUCCAAUCCCAAACCUAUUUACAUGCAAGAACCUCGUCAUGCGAGAGGGAGAUAUGUGGUUAUACAAACCAGACCCGCAACUGUUAAAGGAGAAGUUACAGCUUCCUGUUGGAUCAUGUGAGCUCGCACUCCCACUUGAAGCAAAAGGUCAGUAUUUUAUUUCUUUUCUUUGGAUUGCUCUUUGGUAAGAAAUUGAAAUUUUAGGACUUUAACUUGAAAGGCUCAUUAAUAAGACUCAUUUUUACUGAAUCAAGUUGUCUAAUUUGAAAAAGAAACUCAUUUGAAUGUGCUCAUGCGCUUUCAAUAUUCUUUGCUCGAGUAUAAGAACUAAUUCUUUGUCAGUUUUCUUAGCAUUUGUUUUCUCCAAACUAGAAAACUAGAAUCAUUUUCUAACUGUUCACGCCGGAAGCUACUCUCAGCAACAAUAAAAAAUUGAAUAUCUAAGAAGGAUCAGCAUAGAAGAUUAGGUCAUCUGUUACAUGUAAACUGAACCAUUGGCAUCUGCUACUUAUAAAAUUCUUUAACAUUUAUCCUAAGUUAGUUUUUUUUAGAUAUAUUCACCUUUGACUCUUUGCAAUAACAGAGCGGCCGUUUUCCUAUACUCCUCACCGAGAAGCAUAUGCCACCAUUCUCCACUCUGCCAAUGUUUAUGUAUGUGGUGCUAUUGCUGCAGCCCAAAGUAUCCGUUUAGCAGGAUCAAAGAGAGACCUAGUUAUACUUGUUGAUGAAACAGUCAGUGAUCACCACAGAAGCGGUCUUGAAGCUGCAGGAUGGAAGAUAAAAACAAUCACCAGGAUCCGGAAUCCUAAGGCCGAGCAUGAUGCUUACAAUGAGUGGAAUUACAGCAAAUUCAGGCUCUGGCAGCUCACAGAGUAUGACAAGGUCAUAUUUAUCGAUGCUGACCUUCUUGUCCUGAGAAACAUCGAUUUCUUGUUCACUAUGCCUGAAAUCACUGCAACAGGGAACAAUGUAACAUUUUUCAACUCUGGUGUAAUGGUUAUUGAGCCUUCAAACUGCACAUUUCAGUUGUUAAUGGAUCAUAUCAAUGAGAUAGAGUCCUACAAUGGUGGGGAUCAGGGUUACUUGAAUGAAGUCUUUACAUGGUGGCACCGUAUACCAAGGCGCAUGAACUUCUUGAAGCAUUAUUGGAUUGGUGAUGAGAAGGAGAUUAAAGAGAUGAAGACUCAUUUGUUUGGUGCUGAUCCGCCAGUUCUUUAUGUUCUCCACUAUUUGGGUCUAAAGCCAUGGCUGUGUUUCCGGGACUAUGAUUGCAAUUGGAAUGUGGACAUAAUGCAGGAAUUCGCAAGUGAUGUGGCACACACAACAUGGUGGAAAGUGCACGAUGUGAUGCCGAAACACUUGCAGAGCUUCUGUCUUCUGAGAACAAAGCAAAAAGCUGCCUUGGAGUGGGAUCGGAGGCAGGCGAAGAAGGCAAAUUAUUCCGACGGCCAUUGGAGAAGAAAAAUAACUGACCCUCGUCUGAAAAAGUGUUUCGAAGAUUUUUGUUACUGGCAGAGCAUGUUGUGGCAUUGGGGUGAUCCCAACUGGUCAGAUGAGAACUUGACAUCCAACUCCCUUGCAAAACUACCCAGUUUAUAGUCUCUUCCCUUGUUCUUGCUUUCACUAUCUUGCUGAAUUCUUUCUCCAUAGGUAACUAGGUAUUUAGGUAGGCUGUUACCUCCAGAGUUCGACGAGAUGAUACCCGCAAAUAUUUUACAUAAAUUAGAGUAUAAAUAAGGACAUGCUGUUUUUGUUUUCCCUUGAUUUCAUGUUUAUUGGCAAGUUCAAUAAAAACAUUAGAUUUCAUUUCUGGAUUGUUCAUCUGGCGUGGAUAGAAUAGAUAAUGUUGCUUCGGAUAAUAUUGGUUUCUCUUCACUUUAAUGUUGCUUUGGUCGACUUGUCACAAAAUUUCUUGCUCGACAACUUAGAGCAUUUUUGUAGUACCAAAAAUACACUAAAUAAAAUUUGAUGGCCAAACUACAAAUGAUGUGUCUGUGUUUUUGCAACUACUAAAACUGGAGAGUUUAAUCACCUUUGAAAGGAAAAGACUCAAGCUUGUGUUAUCAAAGUGAUGUUAGCCAGUCUUCCUUGCUUGAUCUGCUUAACUCAUGUACAAGCUGAUGGCUACUGGAGAUUACACUGCAUUUUUCUGUUAAACGCAGGAAUCCAUCACAGCUUAAGAAAACUUCAAUGACCUUUUUCUUCAUGAGAAAUGGAUUCGGGGCCAGUGUCUUGCACACAAAAGAUAAACCAGGAUAACAAUCUCUCUCAAGAAACAUCAGUGGAUGUCAACAUUCUCUCUCAAGAAUUAUUCACUCGCGUCUGGCCCAUCAAUCUCUGUCAGGAGCCAAAUUGAUUGAUGAGAAUUAAUUCACCAUUUUCCCACUACAUGUUGAAGAACAGAAGAACAUUAUUGAUGCCCAUGGAAGAAGUUGGAAUCUGGAUAGCUGUUUGACAGCGAUGGUUGUCUACUUCUGCUUGCUAUCUUCGAUCUGAUAUCAUGCUUCCAGAUUUUUAUUUGGUGCAUGCGAUCUCGCAUCAUCUUACAGAUUUAAGGGCGAUUUAUUAUGAACAAUCUAUUCACCUCCCAAUCAUUAAACAUCAUACCUUUGUCCUUCCCCUGCCACCUUCCACCUUCCACCAUCCAUCAAGUCCUCUCUCACACAAAGUCUCAUCUUUUCCUCUCGAUCUUGACACGAGCACAAUUAUCACCUUACACAGGUACCACAAUUGAUCAAUGUAGACUGGAACUCCAAUCUCUUCAUGGUGACUGCUCCACUAUUGACCCUCAGACAUUAAUCAUCACAGGAUUGACGAGGCUGAAUGCUCUACCUAAUCCAAAGCACUAACUUCGCGUGUCAAGCUGCUGCUGGUCAUACAAACCACAGUCUGUCUGGUCUUUGUUCACUUCAAUCACCGGCAUGCCUCAUGGUCCCAUAGUCGGGUCAUCGUUAAUCAUCUACCCCCUCACAUUGUGUUCAAACUCAUCAUCUUCUGAAUCUGAUGCCUGCCAUGUUCUCAUUCCACUGGCUACCCAUUUUAAUUCUUCCACAAGAAUUGCCAUUUCUUCUUUGUUCGGCCAUGCCUGGAAUGAUAUGGACUGUUCAUGCUACCUACACGUGAAGGAUGCACUCUGUCGUUGAUCAGCCAAAUGACCAAAAAGCCAAAAAGGAGAGGAAAAGCCAAAGCUAAACAACGCACAGUAAGGUCCCAUGCUAUUAAAUUAGGCCAAAGAAGAGGGUAUCUGUUCUCUCAUUUCAUCAUUAGUUCAACACACCCGAAACACAUUGAGCCACUCACCCCCCACCUCUCC